rnacentral:lncRNA from 1 species
UUUUUUUUUUUUUUUGCGAUGCAUAACCGCUUCCACCAAGCCGUCUCCGAUCUCUCCUCUCCCGUCUCCCCUAUCCCCGAUCGGACUUCUUCCGUUCGCGUCUCCCUCCGAUCCCUCUCUUUGGUGUGGCUACUCGAAGGCGAAUUCGCCACUUGUCCCUUCAAGAAUAGAGCGCAUAUGCACCUAUGGCAAAAAAGAAAAGAUUUUGUAUGCAUGCGAACAAAGACAAUAUUGAUAAUAUCAUCCACAUGCGUGCAGUUUUGAAAUUUAAAAAAUAAUAAAUCAUAAACUGAGCAUCGAAAUUAAAUUUCGAUUGCACCACUAUUUUUUACGAUAAGAUCUUUAAAACAAGAUCACACUCUGACUAUAUUUGGAUGAUUUUUUAAAAAUAUAUUUUUUAAAUAUGAAAUAUUAAAUUUGAUUACAGCGAACAAAUACUUGAAUAACCAGAACAAAUAAUUGUCUAAUAUGAAAAAAAGUUAACAGGGUGAACAAAUGAUUAUAAACAGCGAAUGAAAUACUAAACAUCAUGAAGAUUGCAUGAUACAAAUAAAAUAGAUGUAUAGUAAAUAAAAGAUUGAAAAUUUGAUUGUGUAAGAUAAGGUAGUAGAAUUUUUUUUGAAACAAAGCAAGAGCACUGCUACUUCAUUUAAGGAGAUAAAAGUUCAAAGUCACAUGUAGUUCGAUAUUACAUAAAUGGAUAAGUUCUCUAAGAUAACUCAUAAGAAAAUAAGAUACACUACCCCAACUCGGGGGAACCACGCGCUCACUGAUGCAUUGUCACCUCCUCUUGAAUCAAGUCAAACACUUGUAUUGGCCUUAGAGAUUUUCCUUCAAAAACUUGACGAUUACGUUCCUUCCAUAUAUUUCAUGUUUGUCAUGAUCAAGUAUGCAGCCACUGAUCUUCUUUGCUUCUUGCUGAAAGGCUCUAGUGAUCGUGUCCACCAUGUUUCCAUUUCAUCCUCAUCAAUUGCAGGCAUGCAGAUAGUUCCUCCCGACUAGAUGCUUACUAGCACCCAGGUUUCUUUGGCAUAACAGCAUUUCAGACAUAGGUGGACAGCUGUUUCAUUUUCCUGAUCACACAAAGGGAAAAUUAUGUGACAGUCCCAGUUUCUAGCUAUCAUCUUAUCAGCUAUUAGGGUCUUGCUCUGAAUUAGCAGCUAUGCAAAGAACUUGUGCUUAGCUUCAGUGUAGGCCCUCCAAAUGUCGCUUGCUUCAAAAGUAGUAAACGAUCCUCUGAAUUGUGCCUCAUAAGCAGAUUUUAAAGUGUAUGAGCCACUUGCCAUCCAUUUCCAUUCGAUUUGGUCCUCGUCCUCAUUGAAUUGCACGUCAUGCACCAACUCCCAAAGGGUUAUGAAUUCUGCCAUUUCCUCCAUUAUUUGCAUUCUUCAUAAACCUCUAGUCCAAUUAUGAUCAAUCAUAUCAUCCCGAACUGUUCUGUUCUUUCGCCAUGCCAGUUUGUAUAAUGGUGGAGCUAUAUCUCGAGGAGCCCUACCAUUAAUCCAGGAGCAUUGCUAGAACCUAGCCUUGUUACCAUUAACCACCGUGCUUGCUCUAAAUAGCUGCUUGUCCACUUCAUCACAUGAAGUUUUAAAUCCUACCCAAGGCUAUCAAUAUCAGUCCACUCAAACCACAACCAUCUAAGCCGAAGGGCUCUACCGAAUGCUCCAAGUUCAAGGAUGCCCAAUCCACCUAGGUUCUUUGGCAUUGUAGUUUUCUGCCAUUUUACUAAACAAUGUCCUUCACUUGCUUGCUCUGACCCUUUCCAUAAGAAAUUUCUUAUGAUUUUAUCUAUUUUCUUCAAUAUCCAUUUCUUUAGUGCAAAAGUUGUGAUGAAAUAGAUUGGCAUUGAAGUUAGCACAGACCUGACCAGUGUGAGCCUGCCAGCUUUUUUAAGGCACUUUCCCUUCCAUGCAAGAGAGUUUUGCUGCUACUUUAUCAAUGAGUGGUUGAAUUUCAAUCCUUGUUAAUUUUCUGAGGCUCGGAGGCAAAUCCAGGUAUUUGCAUGGGAAGGUUUUAAUUUGGCAUGGCAUCCUUUCCAUAAUAGAGCUGAUCUCAAGUCCCUCACAUUUGAUGGGAUGUGUAGCACUUUUGUCCAAAUUUAUUUUCAGUCUUGAUACUCUACCAAAUGCAUCAAAGAUUAUUCUUAUCAUCUCAAUUUCCUCUGUAACUGGGUUGACAAACACAACUGCAUCAUCUGCAUAUAAGCUUAUUCUGAGUUUUGCUGUUCUUCCUUGGAUUGGUGACAAGGUGGACUCAUUUUCAGGAAUUGUUAACAGCCUUUGCCGUGGCUGUAAUGCUAGGAUAAACAACAUAGGAGACAAUGGAUCUCCCUGCCGAAGGCCUGUUCGAUGCCUGAAUUUUCUAGUUUAAGACCCAUUUACUAGCACAGUUGAAGUUGCUGUAUGCAGUAGGAUAGAGGCCCAUUCCCUCCAUCUGCUCCCAAACCCCAUCUGUUCCAUAAACUCCAUCGGAUAAUCCCAUUUUACUAUGUCAAAAGCCUUUGCAAUGUCAAGCUUUAGGAACAAAGUCAGCCUUCUUUGUUUGUGUAGCUCUCUGAUCAGGUUUUGGGUGUACAAGAAGUUGUCAUGCAUGCUUUUCUUUCUUAUGAAUGCACUUUGGUUUCUUAACACUAGAUCAUUUAGGACCUGUGAUAGUAGAAUAUGAAUGUCAAGUUAGAAGAUUCUUUUAAAAUCAUACAGCUAGAACAAAUUAUACGAACUAAAAUUUUAUACGAAUCAAACAAUUUAUAUAAUCUCAUGGAACAAAAAUAAAUACACCCGAAACAAAUUAUACGAACUAAAAUAGUAGUAAACAUUGAAAUAUUAUAUGAAUUCACAGAACAAAAGAUCUAUAUACCUCGAACAAAUUGCCAGAACUCAUAGAGCAAGUAUAUAUACACCUAGAAUAAAUUAUAUGGACUUACCAAAUAUAAAUUUGUACACUUGGGAUAAAUACAUUAUGGACAUAUAACACUAUUUUAAUCCACGAGUCUAUAUGGAUGACCAGUUCAAUCAUAAAAAGGGAAUAAAUGAGUCGGUGUCACGAAUGAAUGAGUCUAUUAAACACAUAAUUUUACACUCCAAGCUAAGUAAUGAUCUUGAAUGUACAUACUGAGAAAAAUAUAUAUAAUAUUUUAAAAAAAUAAAAGAGAAAAGUAAAAAUAGAAAAGGAAAUAGAGAACGAAAAUGAAUCUAAUAAGGAAAAAAAGAAAUCUAAAUUACGUACACGAAGAAAUAUACAGAAGAGAAUCUGAGGCGCUCCAUUGGCUGGCCGCGGGGUCGAUGGCGACGCCCGGGUGGGGGGGGGGGGGUGUGGUUCGCUCUCGAGCGGGUCAGGCUCGGCGGUGGGGCUCUCCUGGAAAUAAUCGGCCAGUCUGGCCCGGGGCCCGCGGGCGAUGUGUGACGCCGACGCAGUCGGAGAUUCCAUUGCAUAACGGAGGCCCAGCCGUGUCCGAGAACGUCUUUGAUCUCCUCUCCUCCGGUCCAGCCGUCUCCCGAUCUACUACUCUCUCUUCCUUUCCGAGUCGGCUUGCCAACGGAGGCCCAGCCGCAAUAAAAAGCCCCGAGCCCCCAGCCCUCCCUACCAAACGCAGCCAGAAUCGAAGGAUUCGAGAGGCGCGCGCUUGACAAAAGAGAGCGUGCAGCGUCGAGAAACAAAAGCCUGUCUCGCUAACACAACACCAUGGCCGACGACGCAGCCGCCGCGUCGUCCUGUCCUACUCCUACCGCUACGAAGAAGAGAGCCGCGAACCGGCUGGUGGUAGAGGAGGCCACCACCGACGAAAACUCCGUCUGCAACCUCCACCCUGCAACCAUGGAGGAGCUCUCCAUCUUCUCCGGCGACAUCAUCCUGCUCAAGGGGAAGCGCCGCCGCGACACGAUCUGCAUGGCCGUGCCGGACGAGGAGUGCGGCGAGAACAAGAUUAGGAUCAACAAGGUGGUCCGCUCCAACCUCCGGGUGCGCCUCGCCGACGUCGUGUCCGUGCACCAGUGCCAUGACGCCAGGUACGGGGCGGCCGUCCACGUCCUCCCCCUCGACGAUACCGUCGAGGGCAUCACGGGGGACCUCGUCCAGGCCUACCUCAAGCCCUACUUCGACGACGCGUACCGCCCCGUCCGCAAGGGCGACCUCUUCCUCGUGCGCGGCGGCAUGAGGAGCGUCGACUUUAAGGUCGUCGACAUCAAGCCCGCCGCCGAGUACUGCAUCGUCGCGAACAACACCGAGAUCGUCUGCGAGGGCGAGCCCGUCAAGCGCGAGGACGAGGAGAGGCUCGACGACGUCGGCUACGAUGACGUCGGCGGGAUGCGGAAGCAGCUGGCGCAGAUCAGGGAGCUGGUCGAGCUGCCACUUCGUCACCCGCAGCUGUUCAAGUCGAUCGGCGUCAAGCCUCCCAAGGGCAUCCUUCUCUACGGCCCGCCCGGCUCCGGCAAGACCUUGAUCGCCCGUGUGGUGGCGAACGAGACCGGGGCCUUCUUCUUCUGCAUAAACGGUCCCGAGAUCAUGUCCAAGAUGGCCGGCGAGAGCGAGAGCAACCUCAGGAAGGCGUUCGAGGAGGCCGAGAAGAACGCUCCGUCCAUCGUCUUCAUCGACGAGAUCGACUCCAUCGCGCCCAACAGGGACAAGACCCACGGCGAGGUCGAGAGACGCAUCGUCUCCCAGCUGCUGACGCUCAUGGACGGCCUCAAGGCGCGGGCGCACGUCAUCGUCAUGGGCGCCACCAACCGCCCCAACAGCAUCGACCCCGCCCUCAGGCGGUUCGGCAGGUUCGACCGCGAGAUCGACAUCGGCGUGCCGGACGAGGUCGGCCGCCUUGAGGUGCUGCGCAUCCACACCAGGAACAUGAAGCUCACCGAGAACGUCGACCUCGAGGUCGUCGCCAAGGACACGCACGGCUACGUCGGCGCCGACCUCGCCGCCCUGUGCACCGAGGCCGCCCUGCAGUGCAUCAGGGAGAAGAUGGACGUGAUCGACCUCGACGACGAGACGAUCGACGCGGAGAUUCUCAAUUCGAUGGCCAUCACCAACGACCACCUCAAGACUGCCCUCGCCGGCACCAACCCGUCGGCUCUACGCGAGACCAUGGUCGAGGUGCCCAACGUCAGCUGGGCGGACAUUGGCGGCCUCGAGGGCGUCAAGCGGGAGCUUCAAGAGACCGUGCAGUACCCCGUGGAGCACCCGGACAAGUUCGAGAUGUUCGGCAUGUCCCCUUCCAAGGGCGUGCUCUUCUACGGGCCCCCCGGCUGCGGCAAGACGCUGCUGGCCAAGGCGAUCGCCAACGAGUGCCAGGCCAACUUCAUCAGCGUCAAGGGCCCCGAGCUGCUGACCAAGUGGUUCGGCGAGAGCGAGGCCAACGUGCGCGAGAUCUUCGACAAGGCGCGCCAGUCCGCGCCGUGCGUCCUCUUCUUCGACGAGCUCGACUCGAUAGCGACACAGAGGGGCGGCAGCGUGGGCGACGCCGGCGGCGCCGGGGACAGGGUCCUCAACCAGAUGCUCACGGAGAUGGACGGCAUGAACGCCAAGAAGACGGUGUUCGUCAUCGGCGCCACCAACCGGCCGGACAUCAUCGACCCGGCGCUGCUCCGCCCCGGCCGCCUCGACCAGCUCAUCUACAUCCCGCUGCCGGACGAGGCAUCGCGGCACCAGAUAUUCAAGGCGUGCCUGAGGAAGUCCCCCGUCGCCAAGGACGUCGACCUCGGCGCGCUGGCCAAGUUCACGGCGGGCUUCAGCGGCGCCGACAUCACGGAGAUUUGCCAGAGGGCGUGCAAGUACGCCAUCCGCGAGGACAUCGAGAAGGAGAUCGAGCGGGAGAGGCAGGCCAGGCCGGAGGACAUGGCGGUGGACGGCGCCGAGGACGAGGAGCCGGCGCAGAUCAAGGCCGUCCACUUUGAGGAGUCGAUGAGGUUCGCGCGGAGGAGCGUCAGCGAUGCGGACGUCCGCAAGUACCAGGCGUUCGCGCAGACGUUGCAACAGUCGCGGGGAUUCGGUAGCGAGUUCCGCUUCUCCAAGCAGCCCCAGGCUGCGGAGGCUGCUGCGACGGCCGACGCUGACGCCGAGGAUGACCUUUACAGCUAAUCCAUGUACUAUAGGCUGGCAAUUAGCAUAGAAUCUGCUAUUUUCUUAUUGAUUUUUUCUGCACUCAUUUUUCCAUCGUAUUUCAUUACCUCCUUGUAUGAGCGAGUGUGAUAAAUGAUCAAGAAAUAGACCAUUGUUCUAUGAAGGGAAAAUAACUAGCGUUUUCGCGUGCUGAAUAACCAUGGCGAGUUCAUGAAUAAACUUGAUUUGCAGCGAUCACCGUGGAAUUCAAUUUAUGAUCCAUAUACUCCAGGAUAUAAUGGUUAAGAUUUAUUUCCAUGUUUAAGUUUCAAAAAAAGAUUUAUUUCCAUGAAGAUCGGGACAACCAGUUUGGAGAGGAAAGAAGUGCUCGGUUUGCGAUCCAGGUGCAAUCGCAUAGCUUUUUUUAGAUGCAAAUGGCCGUCCAUCAUUUCAACUUUUCCUUACACACUAGUUUAACAGCUAGCACACAUUGCCCUCUGCCACUAUAGCCAAAUAAUAAAAAGGGAGACAAGUCUUAGGAGGCGCGAAUCCUCUUAUUUGAUUGCCAUGUUGUUGCAAUGCUCAACACGUGCAACAGAUGAACAGACUAUGUUCCUGCCCUCGUUGCAAAAUAGCCUAAAAUCUAAUCCAGAGUACAUGCAUAACAUACUAACAUAGUACACAUUUUUCUUAUCAAAGACAACAUUAAGCCAUACUGUCCAAACAAAAAGCACCUGCCUACCAAAAAGUUGUCUUUUGUGCUUGUUGUCAAUCCCAUUCAACCACGGACUGUACUAGGCCAAAAGAAAUAUGCACUAUUCUCCAAAGGUAUCUAGACACAUGAUAAUCAAAGAAAAAAAUUAAGUGUUUCAUGAUUAUUAGGUAAGUAACAUUUUUUCACUGUCUUGCUAUUUUUCGUAAAGAAAAGGUAAGUUGUUUCAUGAUUAGUAACAUUUUUUCACUGCUUUGCCAUGCCAAAGUGAAUUAUGCGAGAAAGGAAAGCCCUAACACUAGUCUAAACACAACACACAGGCUGGCUAGAGAGCGUAAAGAGAAGCCGAAGCGAAGGAGAACACAGGGAACGCAGCCGCACAAAAGGGAGGUGAAAGCCACACCACGCCACCUCGCUACCAGAAAAUUCCCCCCAAGGGGCCAGGCCAGGGCACAACACAGGGCCAGGAGGCGAGAGCUCCCGGCCGAAAUUCCCCAACCCCUCCGCGCAGCGUCCGCUUCCGCGUGCGCCUGCCUUCCCUACCCCACCGCGCCACCACCGACCACCGUCUCCGCCGUCUUCCCCCCCUGCGGCGCGGCGGGCCAGCGCCAUGCGCAUCCGCCGCUACGCCGCGCGCCUCCUCUCCUCCUCCUCCACGGGCGGCGCCACCACCGCCGCCCCCUCCUCGCCGCCGCCGCCGCCUGCCGCGUCAUGGCUCCACGCCGCCGCCGACGACUGCUGCGCCUUCUGCGACCUCAACCGCUCCGGCCCGCAGGUAAGCCGAUCCCCCCUCCUCUCCCCCGUUCCCUAUCGCUGCAUUAUUCGGGCCGCUUCGCCGUGAAGGGGGUUGUUUUGCUUUCGUGCGGGGGUUGUAACAGUGGGGGGGUGUCCGGUGGAAUCGCAGGAGGGUCCGGACGCCAUCAAGCACAAAGGGCACAUUGCCGGCUGGGUGCCGGAAUCCGAUGUCAGGGGCGAUGGGCGCGUCCGCCAAGCUCAACACCUGACUUCUCCGGAAGGUUUGCAAUGUAUUUCCCUUCUAAGUAUCAUCUGUGUUUGCGGGGUUUACACCAUGGCAACUGCUAACGCACAAAUUUGUGUUCUUUUUGGUGUUUCACGAAUUAUUGCAGUUAAGAAAUGCAAGACUGAUCAUGGACGCAAUGUAAAUAAAACUUCUGUGGGGCUGCGAGCACCAAGGGGCUUUUCUGGGGUUAGUGAAGCUGGUGCUGAGCCUGCAGUCAAGCCUGGACCUUUGGUUGUAAAUGAUGCUGCUAUUGGACAGGAAGUUAAAUGUAAAUUUUCUCUUAUGAGUGAUGCCGCCAAGCCAGAGGUUACAGGGGGAGAUUCUCUCGUGAAUGGAUCGACCACUGAAUUAGACGUUUUGAAGGAUGCCCCAUUUGCUAAUGAAGCGGUCCAUGAUCCAGAAGUCACAGAUAAAGUUUCUACUGAGACUAAAGCUGCCACUGUUACAAGCAUUGCACCAGAAGUUGCAGGGAUGCCUUCUCGCAAAGCUGUUACUGAUCCAGGAGUUACAGUCACCAUGCUCAGGACAGGUUCCCUAAGUACUGAAGGUGCCGAUGGACCAGAAGUUACAGGGGCAGCUUCUAUCAUGCAUGAAACCACUAAACUGGAAUCUGCAGGGGAGGAUUAUAUUGCUAGCAAACCUGCUGCAGAACCUGAAGAUUCCAGCAGAGCUUCUUCCAAUGUAGAUGCUACUGCUGCUUUAGAUAAGUCACAGCUGCAUAGUUGUAAUCCAAACAUAGGCAACGUGCAGCUUGGAAAUGCUGGAGAGACUGUUGCAAGUGCAGUGCAACCUUCUGGAUGUGAUGCUGCAAAAGUUGGCAGUUCUGUGAAUUCCACAAGCAAUGGUCCAGUUGGAGCCAAAGGUCCAACUGUUGAGGGAGGAAUGCCAAAUGAUAGAUCUGUUACACCCAGAGUUUCAUAUGUAUUUGACAUAGUGGCUCGAAGCAUCGGUACUUCAGGCAGAACAGAUAUUAUUUGUUAUGCUAGGCGGAGAGGUAAGAGGAAGCUGGAGUUGCUGAAGGUAAAGAUGGAAAAUAUUGAAUUGGAAGACGGUGUUGUAUGCGAGGAAGGGACACUGGAGAGAACUGGUCGCUGUGAGAGUGUCUUGUCCAAUGCUGGAUCCGUAGAUGUUAAACUUGCCGACAUAAAGAAGGAACUUAUGGAUGAUUCAGCUGCAAGCAAGGUUAAAAAGACGAAGAAAAACAGAUUUGAAUGUAAUAUUGAUUAUUGCCAGAUGACAUUCAAGACAAAAACUGAGCUUUCUGUUCACAAGAAGAACAUGUGCACUGUCAAGUCAUGCAGCAGACAGUUCAGAUCCCACAGGUACCUGAGACGCCACCAGAGUGUUCACAAUGAUGAUAUGCCUUACAAGUGCCCAUGGGAUGGUUGUGGUAUGGCUUUCAAGUGGUCAUGGGAUCGGACUGAGCAUUUCAAGGUCCAUGCUGGGGUGAAGCCUUAUAAAUGCACGACUCCUGGGUGCAACAAAAUAUAUAAGUUUGUUUCAGACUUCACCCGGCACAGGAGGAGGUGCAAACCUCAGAGGUAAAAGCUUGCUUGAUACUACAGAAUUAGGAUAGUAGUGAAGUUUGUGCUUGCUACUGUAGAUGUCUUUAUUCAUUUGCUAGGAGAUCUUCGCGCAACUGUUCUGACAACUUACAGUGGGAUUGGUCGUUUCUUUGUUGAGGAAAAUGCUAAAAUCUUUAGCUUAGAAACCUGAGUAUCUCAAACUAUCUGUGUACAUUUGUGGAGGCUAGUUGAUAAUAUUCGCACUGGUUACAACCAGCGCUGUAUCGAAUCUUGAGACCUAGAGCUGUAAAUGAGAAGCUAUUUUUUUAUUUUUUAUGAUUUUGUUUCAGCAUAGUAUUCCAUGCUUAUUUAUUUACUUGGGUAGUUGGGUUAACAUGUUUGCACCAAAGUACAACGUACAAUCUGAGGUUAGUCUAUUUUGAUUGCUCAACCUGUCAUAUAUAUAAACGAUUUCUGCUACAUUCAACUCAUCAUCUUUAUACUCUUAGGAGAUGCAAUCUCAUAUCCUUAAAUUUGUGAUGUUGUUUGCAACUUUGUACCAUGUGGUUAUAUAAAUGAAGCUAAAUCACAAAGCCAUUGCUUUUUCUGGAUGCCUGAUGAACUUUAGAGCUGCUCAAACAUUAAGUAAUGUGAUAUGUCCAUUUUCAAUGCGAGCUCCAUGAAAAUAAAUAUCACAUCUUUCUAUUUUUGGAGUGCUGCUUAUAUGCUUUCCAAGAAGAAUGCAUGGACCGUAAAUAUUUUUUUGGGUUGAUUUCAACCUAACUAUUGAUGAAGCACUAUAGAUUAUGUGACAUUAUCAGUUCAGAAAUUGCAGAAGAUACUAAGUUUUGAACUCUGGUGCUAUGGUUUUUACCUGAUAUGCAUGCUAACUCGGAUUUGCUUUUAUGCUCUUGCUACCUGAACCACUAUCAAGCUAGCAAAUUUGUUCGUUGAAAGGGAAACAAUAAGAACUUGUUCUCAAACAUAAAUACUGUAGUGUUAUGAAUAGAAUAGUCAGGAGCAUCCUGUAUGAUUUUAGUGACCAAUCCCACUUUUUACAGAUAGAUAAUUACAUGUAAUAGUUUAGUGCAUUGAUAGAUUUCUUUUUUUUUAAACACAUUGAUAGAUUUCUACUAGAUUGCAAAAGCAAAAACUAUGGUUGAGCCAUAGCAGUACAUAAGUGCAGCUGUUCUUUGGCAAGAAAAAGGUUUUGAAUCUUUCAUUUUUUACCAAAAAAAAGUCUGUCAAGCUAAAGAAAGUUGACACUUUUGGACUAUGGGUGACAUUUCCUGCUUGCAAGGUACAUCUGCUGUUGCUUCUUCUUCAUUUGGCUUCUUAUACAGGAUUUCAAGCAAUGAGUUGUUGAAAUAGCUAGAUGGGAUGCUUAUUGGCCCGUAUGCUUCUUUGUUAAACAUCCGCAAAAUAAACGAUGACUGUGUUUUUAGGUAGCAGUAUUAGGUUAAAAUGACUUUUGCCUUCAAAUCCUGAUGGCUCUAGUUAAUUUCAUGACUGAAGUGAAUACAGUAGCAACUAGCGAGUAGCGACUAUACCAGUGUGUAGUUGGUUCAUAGUUAAACUUCAUGACUGAAGUGGAUACAGCUACUUAUUUUUUCAAGUAUCAUGGUGAUGGUUGCCAAUGAUGAAUAUGUUGCUUUAUUGGGUCUUCGACAAGAAGAGGAAGGUUUUUGCGUGAGAAACCCACUCUGUUUUUUUCUUAAUUCAAUCCUAUCAGACUUGUGUACUUGAGGAUAGAAUGCUGAAAAGAUUAUCAGCUCUUUGGGAUCUGCAGCUGAGGACAAUGAUUUUUGGUCCAAGCUUUUCUGCCUCCAAUCUUUUGUGACGCUUCAGUCUAUUUGCUUCGUUCUCUGCAUGUAUCCUUGAACUGGGUCCUAAUACUUGAGACCUCGUGAUGGAUGGGUAGAAUGUUUGCCAAAAUUCGAUUCCAAGUUAUUCGGUGGAUGGCGAUUGCGCGAAGCUGAUUCUGCCUUCGCGCGCGAGGCGAGGCAGCGAGCGGCCGGGGGCUCAUCGCCCAGGCGCUGCGGCGCUGGUGCUGCAGCUGCCCCACGCGCGGACCGCAACGCUGCGCACGUGGGUGUGUCGUUAUUUUUUUUAUUUUCCAUUUUUUCCUAUUCAAUUUUUUCAUAUCAUUUGUAUUUAAGUAAAUAUCGUUUGCAUGUAAGUUUUGUGCAUGAAAUUGUUCAACAAUAUUUUCAAAGUUGUGGCAAGCGUUAUUUAUAUAAGUUCUGUGUAUCAUGAAAGUUGUACUGCAAAUUAUCACAUAAGUUUUUGACUUGUUGUUAGCAAAAAACUAUAUAUAUAAAUUGUGUGCAUAAUAAGUUAUAAAUUACUAAAAAUGAAAGUUCGAUGAUGUUCUUUUAUAAGUUGUACAUAAGUGUUGAUUUAUUGUUAGAAAAAAGUUAUAUGAAUAAAUUGUAUGUAAAUUACUAAAAAUGAAAGUUUGAUGUUAUCCUUUUAGAAGUUGUACGUAUAAGUUCUGUAUACCAUCAAAGAUGCGUUAUAUCUCAUAAAAAUUGUUAGUACAAAGUUAUACAUUAAAGAUUAAAGUUAUGUAUAUAAUUUACAAUGUUCAAAAAGGAAAAUUGCGGGAUUUUUUUUUAAAAUGUUAAGUUUGGUCAUCCUAGCGCGUGCUGAUUAGAGAGUCCCAGUUGUGGCUAUGUCUAGUUAGAGUGUGAUAUCUGCAGUUAAAUAUACUACUCCCAUUCAUCUUUUAAUUUAUUACGAGAAUAAUCCGUCCUGCACAGCCGCCUCGCUCAAACCCGGUCUCCUUUUCUCUCUAUCACCCUCCUUCCGUGAGACGCAGUUUGGCUCUUGUACAGUUCAGAGGAAGGGACCCUAACAUUCUCCAUGUCGCUCGAUGAAUGUGGCGGAUCACGCGUGGACUUCGCAAGUGCCAUGCGGCCACGGAGUCGGUCGACGAUAUGCACCGACUGCCCGGCCGGCCGCGACGCAGAACACGGAGCAGAGCGAGCAACUUGCUCUGCUUUGCCGAUGCCCCCUCGUCCCACGUCCCAGGCUCCUAGCGUGCCUCAGACAGCUAUCGGCGUCUGCAGCACCCGCUUCCCGGCGCACACCGCCGGUAUCCCCGCGCGCGGCGGCGCUUGCCGGUGGUUGAUGGCCACGCCCUGGUGCCUACGUAUAUCGGGUAGUGUACGUGAUGAGAAACCUAAAGCGAACAUGACGAAGCAGCUCCUUAGCACGUGGCGCCUUAGUUAAAAUUGAUCUGACCGCUGCGGAUUCAGGUUCAUUGUAUCCGCCGUCUCUUCGACGUCCAUAAAAUGACCAAAUAGUGAUUGAAUUUGAUAACAUAUAUAUAAAAAGAGCCAAAGAACUUUUUAAAUUGGAAGCCCUAAACUAUCGGCCUAUACAACACAAUCGGAUGUUUAUUUUUUAGCAAUACUUAUAUGUGUUCUCCAUGCACACAAUUGUUGCGUGUAUAUGGACUACGCACAUGAACACAUACACCUGCUAGUGCCGCUUGUUCGUCGACAUUUUGACGCUAAACGGACUCGCACAUGGUAUGGACACUAACAACAUACGGAAGAAUCCCAUGUCAAAACCGACCCGCUAUCUGGUUCCAAACAUCCAUAUAAGGCAUAUAAACCGAAAUGCAAACAUCUCACUAAAAAAUUGUAAUAUGCAUUAAAACUUUCUCCAAAAUGAUACAACACAAGUCACCAAAGAUACGGGUAUCUCCUAACUUGCAGUAACCAUGGCAGAGGUAGUACAGGCAGAGUGGGAAGGGAGGAGGAGUAGGAGCGGAGGAUGAUCUCAUGAUUAAGCAUAUGGGGGUGUAGAGUCCACAUAUAGCUCUACAAGCAGGCCUCCGAAGGCGUGGCCGCUGGGAGGAUGUGGGCAGUGGAGACGUUGAUGUGCGAAGACGGCAGCGCAGGCGUGGGUGAUGGGAGCAGAAGCGCCUCUUACGGUGGUGCCUUAGGCUAUGUCUGUGCGGUGGCGCAAAAGCACAAACCCAGCAUCCUCGAAAGAUUACUCCGGAUCCACAUGGUAGAUUAUGGUAGCCAAUGAGCGCUGGAGAGGGGUCCGAGCAGAUCUAGGCUAGGAUUUUUCCACUAGCUGUUCUUUUUGCCUCUCUUUCUCUUCUCACCGUAUACAAGAUAUGUUAUGUGUUCUGGAUUUUUUGACCGAACAUAUAAGAGAAAUCCUUAAUAAAUAAAGAAAAAAAAGAGUUGUAUGUACAUGCAAGACUAUUAGGAACUGAAGGAUCCAAUAACCCUCGGGUCAUUAGGGGUUAAUUGUAGGUAAAAGUGGUUGGACCGCGUAAAAGUGUUGGCCAUAUAUACAACUAUCGUGCAUAUGGACUACACACAAAUACAUGCACCUGGCAAUAGCUUGUAUAUAUCACGCGCGUACACAUCAUAUAGCUCGCAUAUGGACACUAUUAAGAUUUGAAAGGAUCCCGUGUCAAUACCAAUGCAACCUGCUAUCUGGUUCCCGGCCGGCCAAACAUCCAUAGAAUAGAAGAUGUAUGAUCUAAAUGCCCACAGCUCGACUAAGAAUAGUAGUAUACAUUAAAACUUUAUCCAAAACAAUACAACGGAUGCAUGUCUCCACUCCAACAGAUACAAAGGAUAACACGACUACACCGCGACACAACCGACGACAGGCAUGUGCUACGAAGCAAGAUAAGCACAAAAUGAUUAACAAUCUAAGCACACGGAAGUCACUUACGACUGUCUUUUUAGCGAAGAAUCGCGGUGCUCGAACGCAUGGAAGACGAAGGCAACUAGGGCAUGCAACGACUCGAGUGUGUCCAUAUUCUCAAGCGCUUCCUCGCCAGUCGCCACCUUCGAGCCCAUGUUUGCUUAAGGAAAGCGAAGCCACCUUCCUCUGGAGCUCCUGUAUGUGCUGCCACCUACUUGUGUUUGUGUGGAUCUUCAACGCCGCUGGCAAUAGAAGCUUCCACACGGUUGGAACUGCUGUAAUUUCCACGUUGCUUUCCACGGAAGGGGCCGAACGGUUCAGGGUAGUAGAACGCUCCGCCCGAGUAAUCGUCUACCUUCCUCUUUCGUGGCUGCUUGGAGCUUGGCCGCGCACCCGUGGGCGAUGGCGGCGGCGCUGCUUUUGAGCUCGCCGGCGCAUCACUCGCCAACGCUGCUCCGGUGAUGGACGACGGCGCACUUGUCCGAGCUCGUUUGGAGCUAGACGAGGCCUUCCAGGGAUCUGCUUCGUCGGAACUGGCCGACGCCUUCUGCGAAGCUGAAUUAGAGCUGACCCCAUGCGCUUCCUUUCUGGAGUUGUAGCACGAGCGGCUCUGGUGCAAGUGCUUCUCACAUAGUGUGUGGGGCACAGCGGCGUCCUCGCCACAUCUCCAUUUCCUGCCGUCGGUCUUCUUGCACUUCAAUGGCUUAUUAUGAGCAGUGACCACCUCCUUCUUGAUCACCUUCGCUAUCAUAUUCUUGUUGGAACAACCCUUCUUCUGCUGACUUCCAUCUCGCUUCAGCUUCUGGUUAACCUGCUGCUGCUUCUGCUCCGUAAUAUUGUCCUCCACUUUCUUCUUCUUCAAAAGGAAAAUCUCCUCCUCCUCCUCCACCUCAGCCUCAGUCUCUACCUCCUCCUGAUGCAACACGAACUUCACGUUCUUGGAACCCAACCCAGGGUUCUCGCGGGGUUCCCUCCAGGCGUCGCCAACGAGACCAUCCUUCAGUUCCUGCAUGCAUAUAUAGCAAACCAACAGCCAGAAGAUGAUCAAGCACAGAAAAAUUUCCUUACCUCCCCCAGCCGAGCACACCACGACCACCGGCCUCGAACGCGACUUUUGCAGUGAGAGCUAGCACUGUCGAAUGGGCAAACGGAACCCUACACGUACGCACAUGCGCGGGCACGACGGCAGCCCAAACCGAAAUGGCAAAGAAAAAAGGAACGGACGUGGGCUGGGGAAAGCGCCUUCGGUACCCCGGUACUAGAGGUCAAAUAACCAGUACUAAGGGGGACUUUUAGUACCAGUUAUUUAUACCAACCGCAUCCCGCUGCCGCGCCUCCCCCACAACCCGUCGGCCUCCGCUGCAGGCCCCGGCCACGCGCCGCCGUAGCCCUGCCGUGACCCGGAGAGAGAGAGAGAGAGAGAGGGAGAGAGAGGGAGGCAGGGAGGGAGGGAGGGAGGCGGCGUACUCGCGGAGCCACUGUUGUCACCGUUGUCGUUGCGCUGCCGCCCACCACCUUCCUCACCCGUAGCCACCGUCGCCGGAUCCAGCUCCUCUCGCCCAUGCGCUGCCACUGCUCUCGCCUUACCGCCGCUCCUCACUGCUGCGCGCGAGUGAGGAGUGAGCGAAGAGGGAGAGGAGGGGAAGCUGAGGGAGGGCUAGCGGAGAGAAAGGAGGGCCGAAGUAAGGGGCGGCGGAGAGAAGAGGGCAGGGCGGCGAGAGAAGAGGGCUGGCAAGAGUGGGAGAGGUGGGGGAGAGAAGAGGGCCGGUGGGAGAGGCAGUGGUCAAGGGAGAGAGAUGCGUGAGGGAGGAUACGACUGUGGCAGAGGGAGAGACGGAGGGGGAGGGGAGUGGAACCGAGGUGCGAUAAGUACCGGGUGGAGUCUCCACCUGGUACUAAAGGCCCUCAGGCACAUUAGUACCGGGUGGAGGCUCCACCCGAUACUAAUGGGUCCCCAACCGAUACUAAAGGGGGUCACGGGGGGCUUCUGGGGAACUAGCCGUUAGACCCGGUACUAAUGCUCAUAUUAGUAGCAGGUCAGGUCAAAAACCAACCGGUACUAAAGGUUAGGACCAAUGCUUAGUUUUUCAGUAGUAGGAGAUACGCGAGUAGAUCCCAACUAGCAGCAAAAACCUAGAAACCGCAUUGGAGAUAGCACAAGCGGGGAAGGGAGGGGGAGUAGGGGUGCGGAGGCUGACCUUAGGAUUAAGCAUGUGGGGUGUAGAGUUCAUGCACAGCUCAGCAAGUAGACCUCUGUAGGCACGGCUGCUGGCAGGACCAGGGCGGUGUGGGUGUCGACGUGUGAAGCCGGCGGUGCAGGCACGGGCGCGGGUGGUGGGAGCACGGGCACCUCAGCGCCUUAGGCUGCAGUGGAGCAUUGGCGCAGAAGGACAAGCCUAGCAUCUUCAAAGGAUUCCUUCGGAUCCGCAUGGCGGAUCGGGUCGUCGGUGAGCGGCGGAGUGGGGGCGAGUGGUGGAGCGAGGUCCGAUCGGAUCUGUACUAGGGCAGCUGAACUGAAGCGGUGCGUAGGAAGAAGAAGAAAUGAAGAAACGGAAUGUGGGUGGCGUGUCUGCAUGCCUAAUUUAUUUUUUUCCUAGCUGUCUUUUUCGCCCCCGCCCCCCCUCUCUUCAUCGUAUAUAUGAUCUGUUCCGUGUUCUCAUUGUUCGUGUUUUGGUUUGCGCCUGCGAUUUUUUGACCGAACAUAUAUGAAAAAUCCUUUAUAAAUGAAGAAAAAAAUAUAAGAGUUAUAUGUACAUUCAAGACUAUUAGGAAUAAAAGGGUCUCGAUAGCUCCUAGGGUGAUUAGGGGUUAAUUGUAGGCAAAAGUAGUUGGACCGUGUGAAAGAACGAUAGUAAAAGUCAUUUUUAAUUUCUUAUGCUUUUGAAUCACGCUUACCAUCUGAAACAUUUCACAUGCAAGUGUGAAGCAAAAAUUGCCACGCACCACGUACCGUAUGAUAGUGAUGGUGUGUUUAUUGGUCAUGACAGGUGUUUUUGAGAAAAAAUAAAUGAUAUACAAUAAUAAAUUGCUUCUAGUUAAAGAAACGUGGACAUUUGUUGAAGACUAUUGCAGCACAUCCCGUACUCCCAUGGGCUUUGGAGCAUUUUAUAGACGGCUAUCUCUUUGAAGCAACCCGGCAACCCCAUGCACCCGUACAAGCAAGCAGAGACUUGUCUUCAGAUAUGAUCACUAGGGCCGUAAAAGUUAAAACCACAUCCUAUGUCAUUUUUAAUUCGCAAUUUGCCUUCUAAAUCGCUAACGGGAUGACCGUUCACUUCCUAUGCAUGCGUAACAAUCCAACACUUAAAAAGCUUAAACAUGGAACAAAUUCUGAUGACCCAAACUUCCAUUCAAAAACAUUUGCUUUGAAAAAAGUGUGCAACACACAUCUCAUUUAACGGAAGUUGCCAAAAGGACUAACCGAAAGAUAAUUCUGAUGCUUAUUGGGGGACAAACUUUUCUAGUGUUAUAUAAAGUUUUUAUCUACCCCCUCCGUCCCAGAUAUAACUACGUCCAGAUUUUUUCAAAGUUAAACUUUUCCAAUUUUGACUACAAUAACUCUAAAGACUAAUAACAUAAAGAUUAUGUUAGUAGAUUUAUCAUAAAACCAACUAUUAUAAUAUAUAUUUUUUUCAUUUGAAAUAAAUUAUUUUUAGAGAUAUUAUUGGUUAAAGUUAAAAAAGUUUGACUUAAAAAAUUUAAAUAGCUAUAUUUUGGUACGGAGACAGUAGCUAUUUGCCAUCUUCUCAUGCACUGUUGACCCUUGGGCUUCCAGUGAUAAGAAAUAAAUGGGUCUAAUUAUGCCUGUUGGAGGAAACUUCACAUUGGCAUCGACGGAUGGAAGACGAGCACAGCACCCUUCGGCUUGUGCGCGCAAGGGGUCUCUGUCUGUCUGACAAUGUGGCCUUGCUUUGCGCUUCUCUUUCCAGCACUUUUUCGUUGACGAGCUUUUUAAAAAAACCGUCAGGAACAGUUUCAUAUGGAACAGUUACUAAGACUCUCGUACAUAUGAUGACAUUCCCUCUCCUCUUUCCUCGUAAAUGAUCUUGCCUUGCCAUGUCAGUAAAAUUGCUGAUGUGAUAUGUUAUUUAAUGGUCAUGAAACUUUUAAUGAAACCUCCAACAAGACUGACCUUAGAUAAAAGAUACUCCGAUACUGUGCUGCUUGUCAGGAAAGCUCUCGGUCUCGAUCCAGUUCCAAAAUUACAACGCUGAGUUCUGCACCUCCGCCGCGACGGGAAGAAAAACUAAAGUUUCUCAAAACUGCUCUAUCAUACACAAUGCAUUUGCUUAGUCGGGAAAACAAGAUUCUUCAUGCAUCCACCUUAUGAGAAAGUCUACAAGAUAUACACACCAUUAUAUACUUGUAUUCUUACAUCUUUGCUCAGCAACAUUAUCACACUGUGUAGGAAGACUUGUAAGGGAUUUUCUGUUUGCUAGCUACUAGUAGUAGACAGACACAACAUCCAGGAAGGCCAUCAGUCCCGUUCACAACUACUCGCGGUAACUGAAAGAAUCCCUGCAAAGCAAACUGGAACGCAUCUUUUGUUCACUUGAUUGCUCCAGAUGAGCUACUUCAGUGCAUGGCCGAGGUGGGUACAACUAACUCCCUGUAAUCUUUACGUAUGCUCCAUAGAAUCUCCGCGCAUCGCCUCAUGCUCGGUCGGUUCCUCUUUGUUGGAGCUAAGCAUUGCAGAGCGAGCUCGAACAUCUUCUCGACUGCCAGAUUGAUCGCGUUGUUUGCUUCCAGAUUCGAAUCCAGUGUUUGAAUAGCAUUGCCCUCCACAAAUUUCUCCAUUGCCUGUGAAAACCAGUAUAGUACCACGUGGAGGAAGCACAUUAAGACCAAUGUAGACUGGUUGCUACGGUAUAGUACUGCAUAACUGUGUUCGCGCUGUUUCAUCAGGUAAUGGAAACAAAUGGUGAUGCAAAUAAGUAUGAUGUCUAGAGUAACAGAAACUAACCCAUUUUGCGGUAACACGCUCAAUGAUUGACCUCUUUGGCUCUAUAGGGCGCCUUCCAGUAACCAACUCCACCAGUAGGACUCCAAAGGAGUAGACAUCACUCUUCUCAUUGAGCUGGUAUGUUCUGAGAUAUUCUGGAUCAAGAUAGCCUGCUGUACCUUUGACUUGAGUAGAGACAUGGCUAGAGUCAGUUGGAGCCAGUUUGGCAAACCCAAAGUCAGCAACCUUUGCUCGAAAAUUGUUCAUUAGAAGAAUGUUUGAGGAUUUGAUGUCCCUGUGGAUGACUGGAUGAUCUGCGUUGAUGGAACAAAUGAGACGGCAUUUAAUUGCUAAUGAUCCAGUGGUUAGAUGUUCACAGAUGAUUUGUUUCGAGUUCAGUUCUUUAUAUGAAAGUAAAGCUAUGCGACAGAAGAAGUCUUCAGUCUACCAUCUGCCAAUCAAGCCCAACAAUGUUCAAGCAAGUUCAUUGUAUCCAAAUUUUGCUUCAGGACAUGUAGCAUAGAAACUUGCAUCAAAUGGAAACCUGAAAUUAAGCUUAGAUGGUCUCUUGUAAUUAGUGGCCUGGGUCAAGGCUAGUCAUAAAUUUGUGGAGACGAGCCUUCCAGUGUCAUUCACUAGAGGAUCCCUCAUCAGAUAUUCUUUAUACACAAGAAUUAUGGGUUCAUAGCAUGUAAAAUAAUCGAUAUAGUACAAACAUUACUGUUAUAACUUGUGGGUGUGGCAUAGGUCUUACAAAAAUAAGAAAGAGAAGUGUAUACAGGUUCAUACAUUGUAGGAAGUGUAUUGCAGUAAUCUCAGUUAAAUAUUGGCUGCUUUCCCACAAGGAUUAUAAAUUAUAAAUUAUAAAUUUUGAAUGUUUGUAUUUUGAGGUGUUGAUUAUUCUUGGCACAGCUGUUCCAGCGAUAUCUAAUAUUGGUUUCAGUUGUAUCAACUCUGUUAAUUACAGCAAAAGUAGGCAAGCAUAGCAGACGAUAACUUGAUUUAACUACGAAUGCUAUUAUAUCAUUUCUGAAGUAAAAUAGAUGAAUCAUGGAUUAUGCAACUUUUAGAGAUAUUUUCUCAAAUCACAGGUAAAUACUAGAACGUCAAGGAUUAUUGCUGAAACAUUACACCCCAGAACAACAAGAACAAUUAAUAUGGUAACUUAAGAAACAAAAUGCAGCUGAAAGAAGAUUUACCUGAGUAUGUAUGAAGAUAUGUAAUAGCAUGAGCCACAUCAAUUGCAAUUUCCAAUCUCAUUGAGAAUUCUAAUACUUUACCAUUUACACCUGCAAAUAGCUAACCUCAUGUAAGACAGUUAGAACAAGCCAUUGCACUAGUACUGCAGAAGAGAAAUUGACUGGACCACGACAUUCUUACAGUCAAGGUGCUCUCGAAGAUUCCCAUUGGGAACAUACUCCACAAUUAUCAACUGCUCGCCACCAAACUCUAGGUACCCAUGAAACCUAACCAAAUUCAGGUGCUCAAUGCGUUGCAAUGUCUCAAUCUCGUUCCAGAACUCACGACCCAUAUGCUUGUCAUAAACAUUCUGGAAAGAACGGAAACUCAUAUAGCCUUGUAGCAAGAACUAGCUUACAUAAACAGGUCAUAAGAAAAUAAGCACAAACCUUUUUGGCCCGUUUGACGGCGACGAGAGUACCAUCAGCAAGCUGGCCCUUGUAUACAGUCCCAGAACCACCCUGCCCAAUCUUCAAGUUUGGUGAGAAGUUCUUGGUUGCUUUCUGGAUCUGCGCCAAGGAGAAUUUUGUGCUGCCAGGCAUCUCCCUUUCUAAAGAAUUCCUGUGCAUGGGACUAUACAUUCCUUUAAUUGAUCGCUUGCUCCCAAAAGUGCUCCCACUGUUAGAACCUUGUGAGCUCACCGACUGUGAAACUGCAAAUUUAACAUAGAUAAGGUAAGCACCUGAACAUGGCAGAAAACAUAAUCGCCAGCACGUGCUGCAAAAAUAGUCAAAAGCAUUUACGUGUAUUGCUGAAAGAAUUCAACAGCGAGCAUUCAAGGAUAACUUAUGUCUGCAUCACUAAGAUAUUUAAUUUCGCCAAGAGUUUGGACUAGACGGGAAAGGGCACGGUUCACCAUUCUUUACAUGCUCUGGAAUUCUUCUUCAAUCAUAGAGCAAAUUAACAAAUGCUACCUUGUGGCAAGGGUUUGCAUAUACUAAUUUGGUAACCGAUAUUAAAAAAGUUGACCAAUAUGAGUCUGGGGCCAUGAUCAAAUGGCGACAGGUGGACAGCAAACAAAUAAAAACUGUAAACUACAAGGUGAAGUGUCGCACACGUCCGAAUAAAGUUGUAAAGUUCAGUCGGAGAGAUUGAUUAUUGUUGCAGGAGACAUGCUACAAAAUGCAUGUAACGAAAGGUAAGAUAAGACUAAAUCGUUCUGCAAAAAAAAAGUAGGAUGUACUAAUUAAGCACCACUUGAAGAAAAUGUCUCGAAAAUUGCUCGUUGCACCAGGGCAUUUUUCCCAGAAUUAUUGCGCAAUAAUCUCCAGAAAAGAGCAUAAAAAGGGCUAGCUUUCCUGCCAAAAAUAUCAUCUUGGAUUGAAAAGGGCACCUGAAACUGAAAGUACAAAAGCAGUGGAAAAUGGGUACAGAAAAGGGCGUUUGCGUACGUACGUUGGUGGGAGGGGUGGAAGUCGUCGGACAUGGAGGUCUCCGGCGAGCGCGCCUCCGGGGGCACGAAGCAGGAGCGGAAGGCGUCGAGGAAGGAGAGCCCGCGCCCGCCACCGCUCACGGAACCCUCGGGGGCGGAGGAUGCCGUGGUUGCGACGGAGACGCGGGACAGCUCGCCGCUGCCGCCGGGGUCGCUCCGCCUCCAGGGCGAUGCACCCCCGCUGGCGCUCCUCAUCUUGGCCCUCGGGUCGGCACUGCACGAGCUAGCGAGGCUGCGGCGCGUGCGGACUGCGGAGAGGAAAGGGAGGAGGUGUCCCUCGCUGCCUUGAUGGCUUGGAAUUGGAAAGCUGCGGGUUGAUGACGACACGGGGUUGGAGGAAGGAGCCGGGAGCGAGAAGGGUCGGAGGGUUUUGCGCUCUUUUUCGGCGCGUCAAGUUGGACUGGUUCGGAUCCGGACCAGACUUUUACGCUGCACGUAGGCCCAGCCCGCAAUGUUCUUUCACCGAAAGUGCUCUAUUUUUUGUUCAGUGAUUGUUAGUGAAACAUUGUCAAAACAAAGGUUCUCUUAAUUUUUAAAGCCAUUGCAGUCUUAACCUUUACCUCUUCAUUUUGUUUCUUUACCGGUCUAUCUCUUAUAUUUCCUGCAAAUUAGAAAAAAUGAUGAUUGAACGGAGGAACAGUGGAGGUGGGCAAUUUAGGCCCUGUUGGCUGUUUGGAUCUGACCAGCUAAAAUUUAGCUGUUUAGUUUAGCUUCAGCUAAAUUUAGUCCGUGGGUUCCAAACAAGAUUUUAUACUACCAAUAACACUUGCUCAGGGAGAGAAGGGACCCGGAUCUUUGAAACGGCAGAGGAAUUAUAGAUUUUUCUCUCGGGGAAGAAAUGGUUACUAGUAGCACUUCCUUUGGUAAAAAUGUUGACAGCCACUUCGUACGAAAAAGGAUUGCAAUUUUGUGGCACGCACGAUGUAUUGCAGUGGAGAGGCAAUGUAAACUUGUACCCCUACUGCUAGAACUCCUUUAUUUUUAUUUUUACUCUUUUUAUCUUCAAGUGCAUGCCCGGCUACGGCUAGUGCUGUGCUAUUUUAGUAGCCUGAUUACUUUUGUCAUUUGGGUGAACAAUGAUGGGACACUAGUAGUGCCGCACCUGUACCACGUCACUCCAGUGGGACCCAGCCGUGUGGAAUUGGAAAUGUCGGAGUGGAGUCAAAGUCAAUCUAUUGGCUUGAUUGCCCACGGAGCACCUACAUGCGACACACAGCCGAGGAGAGCCCGUUCCGCUCAAUGGCGAGUGGGCCGGACUCAUGGUCGAGAUAGAAAGGAGGCUAGCGUAGGUGGAGGCAUUCAAUGCUGCCUCUCUGGAGUACCUCAAGUUGUGCCGAAGGCGAGAACCAGCGACCGGUGAGCAAGUGGUCAACAGCAGGUCGGCAGGCGAUCUUUUUCCUCUCCAUUUUGUGCUUGGGCACGAACUGCGACUGCAAAGGAAACAAACGAAAGGCCUCGCUCUCUCUCGCUGAAUUACUCGGUCGCGGCACCGGAAAUUCGUUCCGUGCCCGAGCAGCAGAAACCGCACGAAAGUUCCGUGUCCCCCUCACCGCCAGCGCGCGCGGGUGACCAUGGCGGCCGGACGACGCCGCCGAGCGCGGGUGGCAGUUGGCACACUGCACACGCGUUUUCGCCCGGAAACAAGGCGGAGCGAGACGGCUUGGCGGUGGUGAUCCAGGACAAGUGGUCGUCUCCGGCAUAAAUCCGUCGCUAGCAAGUAGCCAGUUCCACGGAAUGAGUUUGCUGUUCCUUGCAGCAACGCGUAAUUGCGGUGCACUCGUACGUCCCAGGUCGGAUGGACGACGUGAGGUCACUUUCAUUGCAGAAUGUUCGUAGGAGCCGGGACGGAAAGUGUCUGUCAGGUAGGCGUGGGCUGGCCGACCGAACUUGAUGCAGGGCCUGUUUAGUUGCCCAAUUUUGGUUGUUCAAAAUCACUGUGUCAGAACUGUAGCAUAUUGCAGCGUUUCGUUUGUAUUUGUAAAUUAUUGUCAAGUAUUGACUAAUUAGGCUUAAAAGAUUCGUCUCGCAAAGUACAACCAAACUGUGCAAUUAGUUUUUGAUUUCAUCUACAUUCAGUACUCCAUGCAUGUACCGUAAAUUUGAUGUGAUGGGGAAUCUUCUUUUUCAUAGUAUCAAAGUUGGGAUUUUGGAGUAACUAAACAAGGCCGCAAAAGGAAGGGAGGAUGGUAGUUGUACAUGCGUUUCCCGCUGGUAAAAUUAGGUCUGAUUAGACCCUAAAGCUCUUGAUCGUUCAUCGAUACUCGUGUUCCAGCUCCAGCUUUUGGAGGCGCUAUGUUUGUAGAGCUCAGCCUCAGCAAAACUUCUGGCUCCAAGAACUCGGCCACUUGUUGCGUGUUUCUCCUUCUCAUCUACUGUAGGGGUGUUUGGGAGGAGGGGGUUAAAUUUAGCUCCCGCCACAUCGAAUGUUUGGAUACUAAUUAGGAGUAUUAAACGUAGACUAAUUACAAAACUAAUUACACAACCUCUAGGCUAAAUCGCAAGACGAAUCUAUUAAGCCUAAUUAGUCCAUGAUUUGACAAUGUGGUGCUACAUUAACCAUUCGCUAAUGAUGGAUUAAUUAGGCUUAAUAGAUUCAUCUCGUGAUUAAGCCUAGAAGUUCUGCAAUUAAUUUUAUAAUUAGCUUAUGUUUAGUCCUCCUAAUUAGUAUUCGAACAUCCGAUGUGAUAGGGCUAAAGUUUAGCCUUUAUUAUCCAAACGCCAUAUAUAGUCUCACAGCCAGGGACCAUGUAAAUUGCUACUAGCAACGAAUACAAAUUUCUCCAUGAUUGAUAGAGUGUGCAAUCUUCUACUGCACGAAUGCACAUGGGCAAUUGCGCCUAGCAACGUACUACGCGGUGCCACUUUUGUUUUUUUCUUCUAGGAGUAAAGGGCUAUAUUUGGUACAAGGGCUGCCGAACUGUUUUGCUCCAGCGAUAAGGCCCAUCAAGUGUGAGGAAAUAAUGUACAGGGCUACAGCCUACAGGCCAGUACACCCCCAGUAGGCCACCAGGAACAAACAAAUUGGCAGCGAGCCGAAGCGGUACACGAACAAUUGCAGAAACGAAAGGCCUGUGCUGGAUCCAUUCCGUAGGUUGUGACUUCUUCGUCCUGGAUUUGGUGUGUGCACGGGUCUUCUGUCUUCGUAGAGAUCGAAUGCGGCUCUCGGCAUCUGUCCACUUCCACUAGCGUGCCUGCACCACGAGUUGCUAGGUUUGUUCAGAGGUAUUCCUUGUUCAGAUAGCAAAUCGUCCGAGAAACAGAACUGGCUCAGCUAGGCCUCAGGUGGUUCUUCCCAGUCAGGAGAGUGCUACACUCACUGUCAGUAGUAGUAGAAAACAAAGAAAUUUGAAAUGGACGUCCUCCCGUGGUAGAAGUAACUUCAAGAGCAUAGUCCAAAGCACCGUAUUUAAUGGGCGUCAGUUCGUUACGUACCGCGUCAGCUGGGACUGUCCGUUUGCGAAAUCAUGAGCUGCUGGAGCCAGCAAUAGAUGCUGCUGCUCAUGCGCAUCGGUAACUGACUGUGACUGGCUCGGCAUUUUACCUUUCACCAGGUCACGGCGUUUACCGCCAUGAUCUCGCCGCAGGACGACGGCACGGCAGGCACGAAGGACUUUUUUGGUCGGAGGUCUGAGCAACGUGCCUGGUGAGCCCGGUGAAUAGUGCUGCAUGAGAGUUGCUAAAUUUUUUUUUAGAUUUGCCUGGCAAGUUGAUCGAUAGUCUGUUUGGUUGGAAGUCUGUGCCUGAGAAUACUAAUACCAUUAAUGUGUUAAAGUACCUAUAAUCAUACUAUGAUUAACAUUAUUCUUUUUUAUAAUAAGAAUUUUAAAAACAUGUUUGAAAAAUUUCAAAUAUUUUUUGUGUCCAACAUUUUACACUUAAUAUACUGUAAAUGCGUCCAUGGAAAAGGAAAAAAAAAUUCAUACUUCAGCUCACUGUUACAAACGUUGGACUUAAUUAAGUAGCAACAAGCAAUAGAAAAGCUUUUAAUAUAUUAUUAGAGGGGGCAACCUGAGCUGUUGAAGCGGCAGUCGUUUUUGGACAACUGCGUCAAGCAGAUUGGCAGGACUCCAUCCAAACAGUGACCCGGCAGCUUCCAGGCAACCUUCCGGCCAGGCAAAUUAUGCAUCCAAACAGGCCCGAACCGCCCUAUCAGGUAUCAACGCCCGGCCGGUGCCCGUGCCGGAGCCGCGUCGGCCAACCCAGCCGCGCGGCAACCGCCACCCCCGCAGUUAAUCCGGCGCCGUGAGUCCUGUGACCCACCUGACUGGAGCCGUGGAGCGAGCGAGCCCCACGCGCAGGGCGUUACCAUCCGCCCCGCGCCGCACAGCAGCACAGGCUAGAACGCGCGCCGCGCCCACCGCGCUCCCACUCCCGGACGCCGCGCGGGCCGGAGCAGCGAGCGUGCGGGCGGCGCCUGGCCGCAGGCCGCGUCGGGCUCGGCGAUACAGGGGUUUCUGUUUGUCCCCCGAGCAGAAACCCCUCACCCGCCAGGCCCUCUGCCGGCCGCUGCCCCCUCCACCGAUUCAUCCUCGUCUCGAUCCCAUCCGCCGCCCGCCCCCGCCCCCGCCCCGCCCCAAAGCCCACGAACCUUUUCCUCCCGUUUCCCUUCCCCACGCGCUCCGGCCCCGACCGCUCUGCCCCCGAACCCAAAAGUCGCUUUUCGGGUGUCUCGCUAGGGUUAUUUGUUUUUGCAAUUUUCUGGCCAUGUCGUACCCGCUUGUCCCCGCCUGACUCGAUUCACUCGCCUGCUGGGCUGCUGGCUGCUGCGGCGGCCUGCCAUAGCCAGCUUCCGAGUCCCAACCCAAUGGAGGAAGGCGAGCAGGCGGCGCAGGUCGAGCCGCCGCCGCCGCCGCCACCGCCACCGCCGCAGGAGGGAAACAAGGAGAAGGAGCCUGAGCCGGAGCCGGAGCCGCCCCGGUGCGGGAGGCACCCAUCCCAGCUCCUCACCGGCAUCUGCUCCUCCUGCCUCAUGGAGCGCCUCUCCUCCGUGCGCGACCAGCCCGAGGCCGAGAUCGUCGAGGUCGGCGCCGCGGAGCCCGCCGAGGGCUCCGGCGCCGCGGACCAGGGCAAGCUGCGGAAGACGCUCAUGCUGCUCUUCCAGCUGGACGACUCCGGCAGCGGUGCCGCGAAUCCGUCGCAAGGGAAGGACCCCCAACCAGCGGAGUUUCAGUUCGGCUCUGGAGGGGGAGAUCGAGGGGGCAAGCGGAAGGGGCCCGGGUCGUGGCUCAGGUCCAUUUUGCCGACGAGAGGGAUGCGGUGGAGGAGGAGUGGGGGCUCUGUGAAGGAUCCCUCGCCGCCGCCGCCGCCAAGGGGGGAGGCGGCGGAUCCGAGCGCCAUCAACGGUGGCGGCGGCGAUGCGCAGGUGGAGCGGAAGCCGAGCUUCCGCCGCUCGUGCGAGUGGAUGGCGUGCCGGGACCCGAGCAGGGGCUCCCUGGAGCCACCACGCCACUCGUGGGACGGGUCGAUGGUGGGUAGGGCCUUCGCGUGCUCCUUUGCCUGCUUAGAGGAGCCACCGGAUGCGGCGAGGAGGGUAAGGAGGAGCAAUGCUGAGGAAGGCGCUGCGGAGACCCGAGCCGUGGUUGCAGAGAGCAGGAAUGGGGGGCACUCAGUUGAUGCAGGUGGCGAUGGGCGGCGUUUAAGGGGAAGGGGUUCUGGUGACACUGGGAUGGAGAUGGCUGUCUCUGGCGUUGGAAGACGGAGGUCCAACAGGUGGAGCAGGGUGUGGGAUCGCAGCAUAACGAGCCCACUCAAGGAAUUCGUGAGGAAGGGGGAGCAUGUUCUUGAGCGGUCCCUCUCCGAGUCGAGGAAGGAAAUCAGGAGGGGUAAAAAUGCGGAAUCAGCAGAUAUUAGUGGUGAAUUUCAUUCUGGACGCAAUGGCCAUGUGUCGGGCAGAGCAAGCCAAGGCGCAAGUCGAAGCUCACAGGCUGCAUCCAAUGGGGAUGUACAGAAUUUCCGGACCGAUUGGCUUAAGAAUAGCAAGAUUGGCAGAAGCAGGAGCGUGCAUUAUACAUCGCCUGGGAACUUGGACAACGGGAUGCUGCGAUUUUAUCUGACACCAAUGAGAAGCACGAGAACUGCAAACAAGGGGAGAAGGAGAAGCUCACGCUUGUUUGCAAGAGGGCUUUUCGGUUUCAUGUGAGCAGCUGAAGUAGAAUGUCAGACCAUGCCAUGUGUUUUAGAAGAUGGCAGCAGCAGAAGCAACUUUUCUUUGCAAUCUACUUGGUUUCUAAGGAUUGGCAACAUCGUAAGUUAUUCCGACAUAUUCUUUCUUAUAGGAGAUUGUUAAGUCCCGACCUAGGCUCAAGAUGCUUCAGUAUUAGUUGCAGAUUUGCUGCUCAGUUCUUUUAAGAUGUUUCUUAUAGAUGGAAUCUGGACAAACCUGUGCAGAUUAGUAUCACAAUGUAAUUAUUUACGUUCAUAAUAAUAUUUGUAUUGAUUUGUUCCAAGAGUUCUCAAUUCUUCUGUCUUGUUCAAGGUAUAUAUUGUUCUAAUAUGUUUCUCGUCCUACUCACAUGCAUUAUUUGUCAGUGGUUGAAAAAACUUACGAUCUAAAGAAUUUUCAUCUGCUGUUAAAUAUGACUAGCAUUUAGCCAUAGGAAUAACCAGACAUCACGGUCCAUUUGCUAAAAUCUACACAAAUAAGGCAAUAAGCUGCACAUAUUCCUCUUUGUGUAAAAAUUUUGCUUCCUAUAUUUGCUUGUCUUUGAAACUAUUUGGGCCAUUAUUACAAUGCUGUUCAUUGGUAGCCUAUAAAUGGCAUGGCUAGGAUUCUCUCAUGUGGGCUGUCAUCUCCUAUCAUCACUCUCAAGGAAAAAUCUCAAAGAUGGGGUCCUUGUGCUGGGGGUAAAGCUUCCAUCUGGAAUCUGGAGUCCCAAUUGAAUCCAGCAUAUUUUCAUGCUGAACUAGACAAAGUAAUGGAUUAGGUAUCAACGGCACCUAAACGUCCCUUGAUUGUCUUUCUAUUUAUUAUUUUGAAACAGGAUGAUUGUAUUGCAGAUUUGUGCUUCAUUGUAUUGUUUAUGUUAUUUCAUCUCUACCCACCUCACAUAUUAUGUGGUAAAUUUCUACAAUGUAAACAUGAAUUACGAAUUACAUGAAUUUAAUGAAUCUGCAAGAAUACGAUGUUCAUCAAUUCAUCUUGUACGUUCAGAAGGUUGCCAUUUUUUUCUUUCUUUAUUUAUUUCUUUUUUAUCUUUUAAGAGUGGGUUGGGGCCUUGGGGGCAUGAUUAACUUCAAAGUCUAUUUCUCUAAUUUUACAAAGCGUCACUAACUGAUCGGGUGAUAUAUGAAAAUGAGGGACUGUUUCUCUUUGGGAAUUAAUUUUCAAUUGAAUUUCUGCAACUACUCUGUCCGUUAAAAUUUUGCAGGUUGCAGAGAAUUCACACCCCCUGAAUACCCCUGAAUGCAAUGUUGCUCUCGCAUCUACUCGGUGUGGAUGGCUGGAUGCUGCAGAAGCAUCCUCUUAUCCACAUGUCUCCAGCUAACAGUUCUGUUCCAUCAGCAUGUUUCCUUGUUUGGUAAUUACAUGGAGAAAUUGUGCUGCUACAUGGUCAGGACUUCAUUGCCAUUGUUGAAGCAACAAUGUUCUUCAAAGAAAUAACUUACAAGGGAAUGAAAUGCAAUCAUGAGCUACUGCGCGGGGGAGACUACUAGUUGCUUUCCGAAUUGGCCGGAGAGACUACCACAACAUACAUCAAACAGAUGACAUCAAGAGGUGCAGAUGGACUAGCCUGCCUUUCUAAAUUCCCAUCUUGUAGGGCACCGGCAUCGAAAGCAGUCUGGUGCUUGUAUUGGAAUACAAAUGGAGAAUAGUCAGAUUUGGAACUUAUAACUCUCAAUGUCUUUGCAAAGGUGGUAAUGUGAGUCACAUCAGAGGUGGUGGGGCUACAAUUUUUUUUGUGUAUAUAUGGGAUUGCUAUUACGAUGUAUAAGUUUGGCUUUGUUAUUUCUUUCUCCAUCAACCUGAACUUUGUUUACAUGUGUAAUUUCUUCCUAUACAUCCUGAACUUCGGUGCAAUUUGGCAUUGACAUUUGAGUUCUCUUUAUGAAAUAUUGAAGUAUUAGUUCUAUCAUCAUCUCAGUUUAUCUACUUAUUUGAGUAUAUUCCACACUUCUGGUGGUGUUUUAGUUGCACAUGUAUUCUGUACAUGGUAAAAAAUGGGUAAUUUAAUUAUAUCUUACUAUGUAGUUUAGCUUACCAAAAUAUCAUGGAAACAAUGCAAUUCACACUUAAAUGCAAAAUGAUCCAAACAUAUAAGGGAAAAAUCACAAAAAUCAUAGGACUUUUUAAAAAAUAAAAACAUCUGGCAAUAGACAAAGCAAACAUUUAGGCCCCACCAGUACAAUUCACAUGCACACAGUGGUCGUACAUGGGUCCAACAAAUCAGUCGGAUGUGAAGCAAUUUCCAGUUUAUAGACAAAAUGUGUUGAUGGUGCCAUGGAUGUGUUUGUGUCGUGUGUACAGUGUAUGUGUGUUUAAAAGUGUGGUUCAAACUCUUAGAGCGUCGUGUCGUAUAAAGUCCUAGCUUUAAGUCAACUUUUAUUUAAUAUAAGUUUAUGUCUAAACUUUAUAAUUAUGUAUCUAUAAGAUUGUAAUACGUUAUUAUUAACGCUUGCAUAUAUGUGGACAAUAUAGAGUUGUCUCGUAUUGUGAUAGACAAGAGUCAGUUAUGCACUCCAUCGUCUCGUCCCUCCCCUGACGUGAACAUGGUCAUGGGUGCGUGAGUCGCCACCACUACGUGCUCCUUCGUAUGGUAUCCUUGAGCAACUACUGUCCUUGUACUUUGGGCUAUGCACCCUCUGACGACUUUGUUCUGCCAUCAUUGAUAGUCCAUGUUUGUACUCCGUAGUACGUACACACUCAAUCCUUUUACCACUUCUCAACUUUUAUUUUGCAGCACUUGGAAGCUGGAACUCCGUAGCCGGUGUAGUUAAAGGAUGAAGUAAAAUGAAGAAGAGGCAGAGAGAUAAUCUACCACUAAUAUAGACGUGUAGUUCAGAAAAUUUUGUUGCUUGUAAUGAACUUACAUAAAAGCACUAUUUACCGCUGUAAUGGCAUCUGUGUAAAACUACCUUCUUCUACGGAGCUAGGAGUAAUAAUUAAUUAGCUUGGCUGUGAUGAUAAAAUUGUAAAUUACGUACUCACUCCGUCCUAAAUUGUUUUUCUAAAUACAUAACUUUUGCUACGUAUCUAAACAUAAUAUAUAUCUAAGUGCAUGUAAAAGACUACGUGGCGGUGCGAAAUCUGGCCGACAAGUAAAUAUUUUUUGUUUUGCCGUGCGUUAGAUCGGAUAUGACCUAGCACACAAUGACACAGGAUGUAUACUGGUUCGGGCAACGUGCCCUACGUCCAGUCGGGGUCAGUGGGACAACUUUAUUCCUGAGCUCAGGUGCUCAAAGUUUGCAGUGGGGGUACAAACGAGAGGAGGAUGAGAGGGGGUGCCUGAGUCCUGGCCUUGUUCUCAUCUCAGUGGAAGAGAGUGGCAGGAGCUCAGACGUGCGCUAAGUGUGUGAGAGUGUGAAAGCGUAAGAGUGUAAGAAUGUAAGAGUGCAAGGGAACGGCCUUACAGGUCGGAAAGGAUAAAAGAGUGAGUGUACAGGCGCUGCCUAGUCUUGUCGAAGCCCACGUCGUCUGGUGUGGUAUAGCCUCCAUCCUCGGUCCCUGUUCUCCUCGUCAGGCCACUCCGUCAUAGCAAGUAGGUUUACGGCGGUACUGUACAGGCAUACGCAGGGCGUGGCACGGUACGGUUCUGCAUACGGCCAGCUGACUCGGGUGCUUCCUCGUUAUCCGUCCCACCUGCUCCCUGGGUCCACACUGAGCGGGCGUCCCCGGUCGGUUGUCCUAGUUGGCCCCGACCGAGUUGGUCGAGGGGAGCGGUAUGGGUGGUAUGGGUGGUACGGUGUAUCCCCAGCUAGGAGGACUCAGUCGGGAGUACCCGGUCGGGAGAGCUCAGUCAGGAGAACUCAUUCUAGGUCGGACUGUGGUCCCACCCCUGACUGGCUCUUUCCGACCAGGCUUCCUAGUCGGAGGAGUCGGCUGGUGGCCGGAUCAUGGUCUCGACCUGGCUACGUGUAGCCGGCUGGUCCAGAUGUGUAUUGUUGCUAUGCCCUUUGUUGGGCCAAGUAUUGCGGGAAGACAGUCCCGUUGGGGACCCUGGGUUUAUGGACCCGUUAGGAGCCCCUGAGCCCCUUUGGGGCUUUGUUGAAGCCGUGAAGGGGCUUUCGAUCGGCAGGUUGCCGUUCCGUCAGGGGGAACACAUAGUGGUGUUGCUUGUUUUUGUCUUAUUCGUGAAGCGGACAAGCCAUAUUACGGGGUCUGACCCCGUUUCCAAGAUGAUAAGGAUGAACUUCCACGGGGUUCAUACCGUUGCCUCGUGACCCGGUACCUUCGCCUCGAUUUCUGAUGCCUUUUACCGCGUAGUAGUCAAAUGCGUAGGGUAGCCGAGUAGGUUCAGGCGUUCUAGCUCCCGAGUAGAUAUGGGUGCCCAGCCCUCGAGAGGACAAGUGGCAGAGGCCGCAAGGGCACGUUAGAUAGAUGCUGACACCUAGAUCCCAAGGGAAGGACUAGCAUGGGCCGCGGGUGCACGCCGAGUUGCGGAGGGUGCCCGGCUCCCGAGAAGGAGACUUGUUUGUAGUCUGCCUUCUGUCAGGUUUGAGCGAGCGGACCCAGUGGGUCUAGCCCCCGAGCCUGCGACUAACUAAGGAGUUUUCAUGCAUCACCCCGUCCGCGGUCUCCUCGACCGGAGGGGUUGAGUUAACGCCGCUUGCCUCGAUAGCUUGAGUGACGUGCUCGGUGAGCUCGCUAAUAGGCAUGUCCGAGUGGAAUCCGGGUCUGUUGUUCGUAACGGGGUCGGCAUAGCCCUCAUGUGGCAUUCCACUGCUCCUUAACCCGCCUCCCGGUAGAUGCCCAAGCCGUUUCGGAGACCGACUCAGGUGGCCCGCUAGCCUCCCCUCGAUGGAGAUUCUAUGGGCAUGGAUCGAGGUCAGAAUCGAAUGAGAAGGUUGAGAUGAUCCCGUCCGCUUCUGAGUGGGUCAGGCGAAGGCCGUUGGGGCUCCAUCCGCGUUUUCCCCUAGCUCUGUUUAACGCGAGGCAGCCUCGAGCCCUUCGCGGGCCGACCUUCGAACCCCGGUCGAUCGCAGCUCAUAUUGAAUGAACCGCUAUUGCUUCUUGACACGACGCAAAGCAAUUAAGAUGCAAUGGUUGCACGUAUGAGAUGAAUGUAUGAUGCUUGAAUGGAUGCAUGCAUGCAUGAAAUGGAUGAAUGAAUGCGUGUUCGCUCGUAGAGAAAGUAAGUGGGGGGCUAGUAAAGUUACCUUGGUCAGACAUUCAGGCAUCACCCCAUCUGUGGUUUUUGCACCAGAGGGGUUAAGCUGUCGUUGCUUAUCUCGACGGUUUGAGCGACAGGCUCGAGGCACCCUUAACGGGUACGCUCGAGUGGAAUCCGUAUCCGUCGUUCGUGACGGGGUCGGCAUGUCCUGCAUGUUAGUUUUCCAUUUGUUUUUGCUUGUCUCCCAUCGGAUGCCCGAACCGUCCGACUGACCCAAGUGGCCUGCUGGCCUCGGUUCGACGGAGACUCUGACAGUGGGUCCCUUUGCUUUGUUCAACUGACCCAAGUGGCAUGUUGUCCUCGGUUCGAUGGAGGCUCUGAUAGUGGGUCCCUCUGCUCCCUUGCCUCAAAAGGCGAAGGGGCGCUUGUGUGCGGUUGUGCCCUGUUUUUCGCGAUUUCGCUGCAAUAGCAGGUGGGCUCCUCCCGGGCCAUGCCCCAUCGCAUAGGGUCGCGUCCCGUCAGUUACGUCCUGUCUGCCAGGGCUCCGCGCCCCCUUCCCCAUUAAAUAGGGGGAGAGGCGGAGGUUUUCUAGCCCGUCCUUUCAUCUUCCCCGAUCGCUACUGCUUUCUCUUCCGCCCUUCCGCCAAAACUUCCUUGCGCACUGUGGUGAGUUUCGGUAGAGAGGAGGGUCAAGGGAGAGAGUGAAAGAAGCCUUACAGAUCCAUUCGUCGCCUCCCGUUGCGCGAUGUCGAACUGGAAGCCGUCCAUCGUGAAGGAGGAUUUGCUGGAGGACUUCACGAGGAGGCGGUUGCGGGUUGGAGAGUGCCGGAGGCGGGGACCAUCAUCCCACGACCCGAGCCUGACAAGGUCAUCUCCUUCCUCGCUUUCCAUGAGCGUGGGCUUGGAUACCCCACGCAUUGGUUUCUGCGUGGGCUCCUUCACCGCUGAGGGUUGGAGUUGCAGCACCUCAACCCCAACGGGGUGCUGCAUAUUGCCGGUUUCGUCACCGUCUGCAAGGCAUUCCUCGGGAUGGAGCCGCACGUGGAUAGCUUCACGCGCGAGUCAGGAGGGUACCACCAAUUCUGAUGCAGUGGUGCAAGCUGGGACGGAGUCGGGCGUUGUCCCGACCGGGACCGACCCAAGCAUCGACCCGACUGCGACUGGGGAGCCCUCGUCCUUGUCAGUUGCGCCGCCAACCGAUCCGGCCGAGGGGGAGCAAUAGAAUAGGGAUAGUUAAUUUCUUUAUGUAUGAAAGAAGUUUGCGGGGGACUGUGAGCCUCCGAGUGAACAAUUUUAAGUUCGUUUGUGAUCGUGAUGGGGAGCUUGUCCCGCCCGUUCUUGUUUUUGCCCUUAAGCAAUUUCUACUUUUCACCCUUUCCCUUUCAGACCUGCCCGUUGACCGUAGGCUGCAACCUUAAGAACCCGGGCGUGGCCCGCGAGGCUCAGCUGCUCAUAGCCGUAGCCGUGGCGGGGUCCGAUCAGUCCGCAAGCUAGAGCAUACGUUGCUUUUAGGGCGAAUUAGAGGAUGGGGUGCCCUUUCCUUCGGCACGCCCUUUUGUUCGGGCGAGGCGUGUGAUUACGCAAAAAGUAAAGAGGAGGUGGUGCCGCACCCCCGUGGAGCCCCCGAGCAACCCAGGCCGAGAGUGCUCGGGCUGGGGUGCUGUAGGAGCAAGUGUUGAAUGGAAAUGGACUAGUAAUAGACCGAGUUAAGGAAAGAAAUGGCGCAACUGCUCAAUGUUCCAAGUGUUGGUGAGGAUGUUGCCGUCGCCGUCCUUCAGUCGGUAGGCGCCUGGUUGGAUCACCUCGACCACCGUGUACUGUCCUUCCGAUGGCGGAGAAAGCUUGUGCUUAUCCUUGGUUGUUUGGGUCCUCCAGAGCAUGAGGCCACCGAUCUCGAGGAGGGGCCCUCGUCGCGAUCUUCGCGCUUGUCCUUGCCCUUGUCCCUACUGUCGUUGAAGACCGUCCCGACCGCCUCCUCGCUGGAGGCAUGAUUCGUAGCGAUGUCGAGCAGCUCGUGGGUGGUUCGGGGCUUGACGCGGCCGAGCUUGUGGACCAAGGACUUGCAUGUUGUCCUCGAGAGGAAUGCGUUGACGAGGUCUGCAUCGACGAUGUCAGGGAGGGAGUUGCAUUGCUUUGAGAACCUGCGGAUGUAAUCCCGUAGGGACUCGUUAGGUUCCUGCUUGCAACUCUUAAGGUCCCAGGAGUUCCCAGGGCGGACGUAUGUCCCCUGGAAGUUUCCUACAAAGACCUUCUUCAGUUCUGCCCAGUCGCGGAUGUUGUUGGACGGAACGAACUCGAGCCACACUCGAACGAACUCCCCUACGCAGAUGGGGAGGUACUGUAUAAUGAAAUAGUUAUCAUCGGCUCCUCUGGCUCGGUAGGCAAGCCGGAAGUCUUCAAGCCACACUUCAGGUUUAGUCUCCCCAAUGUACUUGGUGAUCUUGGUGGGCGGUCGGAAGCGCUAUGGGAAAGGUGCUUUUUGGAUACGACGACCGAAGGCCCACGGUCCUGGUCCGUUUGGGCUAGGGCUCUGGUCACCGUUCCGGUUGCUCGGUCGACCGACUCGCCUAGGGUGCACUUCUUCGCGCUUCUCGUCGGAUCGGUCGUGGGCCACAUCAGCCGCUCUUGCUGCCAUCUGUUCAACGUCAGCGUCGUGCCGUGCCAGGCGUCGCGCGUGGAUGACGCUACGCGCAUCACAGUUCAGCCCGAUCUGCUCGCGCAUGAGCUGACGCCGCGGUGCUGGUGCCGGGUCGGGCUAUGGAGCUGUUGUAGGGCUCUGCCCUGCCCGACGUGCCUGCAAGGGCGAGCGGAUGGAGUGGUUCGGCUGGUGUGGCCCCAACGCUCCGGUUGGGCAAGAGGUUGCGUGUCGCGACGCGGAGCUCUCCGCCUGCUAUACAGCGGCGGUUUCCACCAGUGCCCAAAGGUUCCAGUGGAUUGCCUGCUCCUGGGGGUCAGCUGGCUCGGGGAGGCUACGCAGAAGUAUCACUGCGGUGGCGAUGUUCUAUCCGACCUGAGCGAACUACGGGAGGUCGUCCACUCCUGCCAGGAUGUUGCGUUGGACUUGGCGGGCGCGGCCUCAAGCGCCACUUGCUAGGUUGCGCGCGUACGGCGUAGAGUGAUGCGUUGGGUGCAUUGGUCCGGCUGCCGCUGUCGCAGCUCGUCGCCGUGCGCCUACGCUUGCGUCAGGGCCUCCGCACGGUUUUUCGAUGGGGUGUGAGUCUCAACAGACUCCACCACCUCCGGAAGCUGUUCCGGGGUGUCAGCUAUGGCACACUCCCAGGACAGAGGAUGGUCAAGUGCCAUCAUGUCGUCAAUGCUGGAGCCGUCACUCUCGAGCUCCUCAUCGCAGAGGUCGUGGAAGGAGGCAGGAGCAUAGUCCGCUGUUCCCACGAACUCGCACGGGUGGAUAGAUGACGUCAUGACCCUCUAGAGCCCCCAUAUGUACGCGUCCACGGGGGACGCAAGACCGAAGGGGAGCCAACCACAUGGCCAACAUGGUAGGGACAACGGAGCUCCUUCGGAGAGCUGGUUGAAAGUGUUAGCUAGUGAAUACAUGAUAGUAUCCACAUCAUUCAUCAUGUGGAUCGUGCCCAGCAUGGACUUGAUGCGGAGCGUAAGUGCCUUCACGUCGAGGUCGUCGAGCGGCUCGCGGACGACGAUGUGAGCCACCUUUUCCGGGGAUGCCGGGAGAGUCAUCUCCUCGCGGAGGCGGAGUACGCCGAGUUGAUCGGUGACGAAGUCCAGACUUCCAAAGCGAAAGGCCUGGGAUGGCACGAAGAUGGGUGGAACCCACGUCCCAUCGAGGGUGGGUGUAGGAAACUCCAGCGAGCCGAAGCGAAUCGUAUCGCUCCAGCCCUCCAUGCCGAAGAUGGCGGUGAGGUGGGCCAUCCGAUGACCUGCAGAACGCGAACGCAAUGCCGCAUUCCCCACGGACGGCGCCAACUAUCAGUGCGAAAUUUGGCUGACAAGUAAAUAUUUAUAGUUUUGCCGUGCGUUAGAUCGGAUGUGGCCUAUCACACAAUGACACAGGAUGUAUACUAGUUUGGGCAAUGCGCCCUACGUCCAGUCGGGUUCAGUUGGUCAAUUUUAUUCCUGAGCUCAGGUGCUUAAAGUUUGCAGUGGAGGUAUAAACAAGAGGAGGAUGAGAGUGGGUGCCUGAGUCCUGGCCUUGUUCUCAUCUCAGUGGAAGAGAGUGGCAGGAGCUCCGACGUGCGCUAAGUGUGUGAGAGUGUGAAAACGUAAGAGUGUAAGAACGUAAGAGUGCGUAAGUCGUAGAGGUGGAGGUUCUGUCUCCUUUUAUAGUACAAGGGAACGGCCUUAUAGAUCGGAAAGGAUAAGAGAGUGAGUGUACAGGCGCUGCCUAAUCUUGUCGAAGCCCACGUCGUCUGGUGCGGUAUGACCUCCGUCCUCGGUUCCUGUUCUCCUUGUCAGGCCAGUCCGUCGUAGCGAGUAGGUUUAUGGCGGUACUGUACAGACAUGAGCAGGGCGUGGCACUGUACGGUUCUACGUAAGGUCGGCUGACCCGGGUGCUUCCUCGUUAUCUGUCCCACUUGCUCCUUGGGCCCACACUGAGCGGGCGUUCCCGGUCGGUUGUCCCAGUCGGCCCCGAACGAGUCGGUUGGGAGUACCCAGUCGGGAGAGCUCAAUCAGGGUCGGACUGUGAUCCAACUCCUGAUUGGCUCUUUCCGACCAGGUUUCCUGUUCGGAGGAGUCGGCUGGUGGCCGGAUCGUGAUCUCGGCCCAGCUACGUGUAGUUGGGCUGACGUGUAUUGUUGCUGUGCACUUUGUUAGGCCAAGUGUCGCGGGAAGGUAGUUCCGUUGGGGUUUCCGGGUCUAUGGACCGGUCACUAUGUAUAAAAAAAAUCAAAAAUAAUUUAGGAUGGAGGGAGCAGCAUUUUAGCGUCGAUUGUGGAACUGUUGCACAAGGAAACGUGGCCGGUACUCCAACCUGCCAGAAAAACUGAAAUGCAAUGAGAUUUACCGGUAAUAAGUACAGAAUCAAGUAAGGUGGCGACACAGAAUCUUCAUAAUAGUUUUAAGUACACCAAGUUUCGUUUCCUAAUCUGUAUUCUUCCUUCCCUUUUGGUUGUCCCUUUCCUCUGUGCUUUACUCUCCUCCUGUCCCCCUCCCUCCUGUGCGGCGGUGCCCAUCGCAAUAAAAAUAAAAAUCAAUAAGAGAGAGAGAGAGAGAGAGAGAGAGAGAGAGGAGAGCAACACCGGCUGCUUAAUCUCUUCUUCUCCCCGGCUUAUCUCCAAGGGCGCAUCUCCAGAAGCGGGAGGGAGGAGCGGAGCGGCGAAUUCUUGUUUUUGCGCAGGAUGUCUUCUCCAAGCAAGCGCCGGGAGAUGGACCUCAUGAAGCUGUGAGGAUCCUGGGGGUGUUUCAGUGAUUUUCCUUUGGGAUUUCGAUGGGGAUUUCCUUGAUCUGUGUUUCUGUUGCCUGUUGAUGGCUGCAGGAUGAUGAGCGACUACAAGGUGGAGAUGGUGAACGAUGGGAUGCAGGAGUUCUUUGUUGAAUUCCGUGGGCCUAACGAAAGUACGGAUUUUGGCGCAGGAGGCCGAUUUGAUUCCAUCUCUUUCGUCGAUGAUUGUGUAGCUUCUGAUUUCUAAUCUAGAUAAAUUGAAGAGCGAGUUUUCAGGAAGCUGAGUUUUUCUUGAUCAUUGUGGGCUUGUGGCCUUUAGCUUCCAUUGAUGUAGCUCUGAGGACAGCUAUAAUCAGAUCCCCAAUUUAACCUGUUGCUGAGCUGCUUUUGCUUUCUGUAUUGCCAUUAGUAUCUGAAUGAUGUACUUGAAGCGUCAGUCUUGUUCCGCAUUAGUGAUUUAGGAUGAUCAGCAACACUAUCUGAAGGAUGCUUUGUUGAAUUUAAUAGGCAUUUAUCAAGGAGGCGUGUGGAGGAUUAGAGUAGAAUUGCCAGAUGCAUAUCCAUACAAAUCCCCAUCGAUUGGUUUCAUCAAUAAGAUAUAUCACCCAAAUGUGGAUGAAAUGUGAGUACCUUGGACUCCAUGAUCUGUUGAUUUGUCAAUUCAAACCACAAUAACAGUCUAGUUACUAACCACUUCUGGAUCAAUGUGAACUGUAGGUCUGGUUCAGUUUGUUUGGAUGUCAUCAACCAAACAUGGAGCCCAAUGUUUGGUAAUAAUCGAUCCUUACAUUGCAUUUGCUUGUAUAGACAUCCAGUUAAUUUUUUGUUUUUUUAAAAAAGACAUCCAGUUAAUUUUCUCUGUUCUGUGCAACUGGAGCCCCAGUUGCUUUGUACUCUGUUGCAAGAGGGUCAAGUUUAAAUAUCUAUGUGCGAUGUUUUGCAGACCUUGUCAAUGUAUUUGAGGUCUUCCUUCCACAACUUCUACUAUAUCCGAAUCCUUCUGAUCCAUUGAAUGGAGAUGCAGCUGCAUUGAUGAUGCGUGAUCGGCCUGCUUAUGAACAAAAAGUGAAAGGUAAGAAGGUUACACAUUGUCUGUUUAUUAGUACCUUUAUUGCAACCUGCUUGGAGAUUACAUAAAAUAUUUAACAAUGGCACUGAGCUGAGAUGCAGUCGUACUGAAUUUUCGUUGCAGUUUGCACCAGUAGAAUGAGUCAAUCCAUCUUCUAUACAUGGCAGUCUUGUAAUUCUGACUAAUCAAUUUGAUCUCCCACGCUAUGUUUGUUUAGUGAACAACCCAUCUUAUGUGAUAAAUACAAGUUCAAGAAUACUUCCAGACAGGUUUUUAAGUUCUUACCAAAAGCCUUCCUAGAAUAUUGGUUAUUAUAGGCGCUCAUUGGGUUCACCAUAUAUAAGUAAAUACAACUGUUAGGUUCUAGUAAAUAUUCUUGACUAGAGCAGUUUUAUUGAGUAAGGCCUUGUUGGAAAUUGCUUAUAGGUUUUGAGCUCGGCAUGUGGUUUGAGUGGACUUCGAAUCUGUAAGCUGAUAAAAUUGUUUAGUUGCCAAUGUAAGAAAAUCCCUGUGUCAGGAUGGGAGUUGGCACAGGAUGGGCUGUUUCUUAUUGAUGCGGUCAUGGGGACAAUGCAAACAAACAGGGUUUAUUGGUUGCAAUGUGGAUGUCCUCCAUAUCCACAAGAAAUCCUGAAAAUAUUGUAGAAUAUGAAUAUAUAUCUUCAAUUGGAAUUCUCUGGUGGGGAAGUUCCAUGGACCUUCCAGCACGUACCACGUGUUCUGGUGUUAAGAGCUUAAUUAUCCCUGUCCUUUAGAGUUCCAUUUCAUUCACUGAAUUAACUUAUCAUGAUGCUAUGGAGCUGUUCCUCUACUAGAAUGUAGUUCCUUAGCCAUUUUGUUUUUUUAUUGAAUCCUAGUCUCUUCCUCAGUACUCAAGAGAUGAGUUUUCAUUGACCAUGUUUCUGCAGAAUACUGCGAAAAAUACGCCAAACCAGAGGAUGCUGGGGUAGUCCCAGAAGACAAGUCUAGCGAUGAAGAGCUAAGUGAAGAAGAAGAUGACUCCGGUGAUGAGGAGAUCCUUGGGAAACCAGAUCCAUAGUCAAGUUGGAACCUAUAUCUCUGGUUGAUCAGCACACAAUGUUUAUUGCAGCAACUGCAAUGAAACAGUCUCUGAACCCUUCCCGUGCAGUCUGAAUGUCGUGUAAAUAAACUGCAGUGUCAUGUUCCCUAAUGUUGUUUCCAUCCUCAAAUUGACCAAUUCGAUGUCCAGCAGCACUAGUUUGCCCCCAAGUACCAUGAUGUGCAGAUUUCUGCAUUGGAAUUGGCCGAUUGUUUCAAUAUCUGCGCAAUUGUUCACAAGCAAAUACCCCAAUAAUUCAGAUGAUGUUGGGAUUGCUGGCGUACACAUUUUCAAUCUGUGCAGAGCUUCUUCACCCUCCUUGAGACAUUGACUGACAAUGAAAUCCUGAAUUGUUGGCUAGCCUGGUGGUAUAUGAAUAAAAAGUACUCCGUACAUCAUAAGUGGUGGUGUGGAUGCAAAUUCUCCGAAGAUUUUAAUUCUUUUGGAUUAGCAAUGCGAUUUAAGAACUACUUAUAAGGUUUUAUAAGCAAAAUCCUCAUGGCUUCCAUGCAACUCGGAGAUGGAAUCAAGCCACAUGGAGGAACACGCAACAGAUUUGACUUGAUCAAGCCGUUUGCGUCGUGCGCGAUAGUGAUUUGGUUUGCCACGCUUGUGCCGUUGGCCGCCCAAACCACACCAGUCCUCACAUGGCGAGAUUGGCGUGGCAAGGCGCACUCGCCGCCGCCUUCCUCCUCCUGUGCGCGGCCGCGGGGGUGGCGCUGGGGGCGAAGCGGGUGCCCAUCCCUGACGACCUGCGGGACGUGGUGGACGACGAGGAGGACGACGAAUGGCGCAACUGGGGCGCGAGCCAUUCGCGGGGGCCGAACCGCGGCGACGGCCCGCCGCCUGACCUGUCACGGAUGGAUCCGGCCGCCCUCCAGGCCGAGCUCCUCCGCGGCCAAACCGGGCCCUCGUUCGGCUUCGUCAAGCUCCGCCCCGGCACUCCUCGCUCACGGGUGCGGAUCCCUCGAUCGCCGCCACGGCCGCGCGCUCGUUGCCUCGUUUGACCAUGGCAUUAUUUUUUUUCCCAGGAGGAUGUGGUGGGGAUUGCAACGAGGUGGAGCAAUGUGCUGCGGACCGGAUCGGUAGAGGCCAAAUUCGUUGCUGUUGAUUUUGGGACGCUCAUGUUCACCAUGGAGAGAGGGCAUGACAUUCUAGAGGUUGGGGCUUGCUUCCUUUGGAUUGAUCUUCUUCUUUCUUUCUUUCUUUUUUCUGAACAAUGCUGGGCUUGACGAUAAAGUGGGGUAGUACCGUGGUCUUACGACCUAAAUAAUGCUACCCUUGAUCUGACCAGUUCACCUCAAGGAUUAGGCCUUGAGAAAAUGUGAUCAAUUUACUGGAACGCUCUCGUUCACGUUGAGGCUCCACUGGUUCAAAAGUGUAAUUAGUAGGGUAAGGUGAGGAUCGGCUAAUAUACUUCAACUCUACCCUUUUAAAUGGGAUUGUGAUGUAAACUGGAAGUGGACUGCAACUAGUUUUACCUGAAAUUUGUGGUAGCCAUGUUUCAAAAGUGGCUCCUUUUGGCUUUGAUGAGACCAUAUUUGUACCAGUUCAUCCAAAAGUUUAAUUUCUAAGUAAACUUAAGCAGUAUGCAUUAUCAGCAUCUGCCACAGAUCAUUAGCUGAAUAAGUGUUUAUGCUUAUCUAUGGCCAUGGAGUAAAAAUUUUAUAUACGGAUACUAAAGGGAAUAGUAACAAGUCUACAAAUGUCUACUGAUCUCACGGUUCUAUUUAUAUUUGCAUCUAGAAUGGACCUAUUUUUUUUUUAGAAUGUACCAUUUUUCCGCUACAAUCUUAUUGUGAUAACUCAAUGGUAGUGACUAAGCAUCACAAUUGUUAUACCAGAAUAAGUAACAGACGUGAUUAUCUUUAUACCAUUGGGAUCGAGGUGUUUUCCCAGAAUUGCAUCAGUUGCCAUUUUCAUAGCAUAGGAUGUGAAUUGAGGCCUCAGACUACCGGAAAACGUGAUUGUGCAAUAACCCAUUCAGUUAAGCAUGAUCUUUGCUGUUGGAUUUUCUGAUUCUGUUCUUUUCAUUUUAUUUGUUCCAGCUGAAAGAGUUUAUCUUGAGCCAAGCUGAGGCCUACGAGUUUAAGAUUGGUGAUCAGAUUUUCCGCAGACCUGGAGACCCACCCCUGGACCAAGUUCUUGAGAAGCUAAAGAAACAGAAGAGUCAUAAAUCAAAAGAUGAACUGUAGUAGAUUCAUUUGCUAAAUCGUACUGCAUGCCUUGUAACACAAGUUCCUUGGCCUAUUCGUUCAUACUUGUUUUACAAUUUCGCUUGAGUGGCCGUUUUACAUUUUACAAUCUUGGACGAUCACAAGUAGUCCUCUUUGGUAGAAGGGUUCUCUUCCUUUUUUUUCUUAUUUUUUUGUGGAGGGCUAGAACGGUUCUCUUCUUCUAAAUGCUCUGUGUCACUGCUCGAGUAUUGUAACCACCAUGCUUUUGCCAUCCAUUUUGAGUGAAAGAAUGCGGUCGUCCUUGAUGCUAGACGUUGCCCGUUGUUUUCUCUUGCUGUUUUGUCAGUUCAUUUGUUGCUGUCUGUGUCUGGCGUAGUAUUUGUAAACUUUUGUUGAAUGUGCUCAGCACACUGUGAGCGGAACUGAAGAACCAAUCAUUUAUGAGCAUCAGAAGCAACUGCCAAGAUCCUCAUCCAGAAACCAAUAGCGACACCGACACAAGUACGUGAUGCCUUUGGCUGUCUGGCGUAAUCAGCGACCAACAGCGACGUCACUGCCCAUCACUGAAGCCUAGUCGCGUAGAGACCGCAGGCCAACAGCGACGGCCGCCAUGCCACCAUUUGCCUGUCUGUCUGUCCAACGCGGUGUCUCUUGUGCAAGCCACUGCAGUGUUGAAGAACUCUGUCGCUAAACUUAGUAUCAUGUCUUGUUAAUCCUCUGGCAUACAGAAGUGCACGACACCAAGACCCUGAUGGAAGUCGUCGUCGAGCUUCGACUUCCGCGAGCAGUACACCAGCGCGCUCUGCACCGAAUCCUACAACAACUUCUAGGCGGUAGGCGCGCGUCCUGGACAUCACCCUUGCGCAAGGCGCCGGCCGGCCUGGUGCCGCGUCCGGGCGGCGGCACGGCGUCCAAGCGCCUCCCCUCCUACCGCCUCUUGGCGUAGGUGGACUAGCCGCGCUCCUGCCCGUUCAACUUCAGGACGAGGCCGUCGGAGCCGCCGCUGUAAGAAUCCGCGCCGCCGCCGUCGAACGCGCCGCUCUCCGGGCCGCGCAGCAGCGACCCGCGGAGCGGCAGAUGCUGGCUCCGGCUGCCGUCGAUGGUGGCUGUCUCGGAGACGGGGCGCGCGGCGUCGCACCGCGGGAGGAGGAGGUGCAGGACGGCGAGCAAGGAGAUCGCCAACGUCAGAAGCUCUUCUUGCUCAUGAUGACUCCCAUGGUUGUGGACUGCUUGGACCUUGCACUGGUUAGCACCUUUGCCGGGUACGGCGCCGGCAGCAAGUCAGGUAGGUCCCUCCGCUAGUCCGUGAGCAGAUCCCAGACGGUGAGGGCGCAGCCCCCGGAGACGUCCCUCUUGGGGUCCCAGCGCAGGAGAACGCGACAGCGGCGGCGGGCAUAUAGCGCGCGCCAGCCGCGGAGGCCGGCGGCGGGCAUCUAGCACGUGCCCGGCGAGGCGUUGCAGAGGAAGGCCAGCGUGGGUGGCGCGCGGUGGCGCUCGCGGAAGCCGGGGCCCGCGACGAGCGCGGGUCCGCGGGCAGGAAGCGCGGCACCUCGACAAGCUCGAGCUCCGAGAUCGACGUGACCGUGGCGAACCGCUUUGACUUGGUCAUGGGAUCCUAGCCGUGCGAAUGGGAUUCGACGGUCCAAGUUGCCUAAGGCCCGGACGGUAAAUGAGAUACCGUCCGGGGUGGGCGGUAAAUGAAAUACCGUCCACCCCGGGCGUCCAGCGCGCGCUCCCCGCUCGCCGCCGCCGUCGCGCCGCCCCGGCUUCGUCGGAGAUCACGGCUUCGCGUAGAUGCGCCGCGCUCCCACCGGAGGUCUUCGUCUCCGUGUCCGAUGCCACAACGCCACCCGUUCCUGAGCGCCUCCUUCCGGCGCGGCGCCUUCGCACCUAUACUCGCCGCGCAAUGCCCGCGCACGCGCUGCGAUGAACCGUGGCGCGCGCGUGUCGCCGCCGCCUCGUCGUCGCCGUGGCCCGCCGUCCUGUUCUCCUCCGAGAUAACCGCCGCCGCUUUAAGGUAAUCGCAGACGGUGGCCGCAGCCUCCGCGGUGCCCCUGUCCUGCUGUCCACGACAGCGCUUGACCUCAGCUUGGGCACUCUUGCUUGAACUUGACUGACACGGUGGGAGCGCAUGUCUGUCUACAAUGGCAUAUCUGCACAAUACACGGAGAAUCGCGUCGCCCGUACACUGCAAAUGGCAAACUGAUGGUUUCUUCGUGCAGAUUAUCAAUCAGAUCACAAUCAGCAACACGCAUGGAUGGCGGACUGGCGGUGAACAGUCCGUUGCGUGCUGUCAAAAUUCCAAUCAGAAAUGGGGCCGGAAGAGAAGUUAAACGACGCAUCUAAUGUUCAGAAAACGCUCCAGCUAAUGUCGCCCGACUAAAUGAUCAUCUUCUUGGGACUAACGUAACGUUCCUGUAUACCUGAUUUCAAUCCGUGCAUGAUGUACAUUUGACCCGGAACCUUUCAGAUCUCUGAAGUCUUACUGCUCUAUACCCUUAUCAGUGUCUGCAUGUUACUCAUUCUUCUUUUCCUGUUCAAGGCUAAUGUUCAGGAACAGGUGCAGGCUAACGCAUCAAAACAUAGAGCAGCAUUACCCAUUAUUCUUUCCCUUCUAACUCUACGGUACAGGUGGCUGAUCAUAUCAGUAAAACAACUACUGUAAAGUGAGCUGAACUUUUGCUCACACAGAGAUUUACUCGCAAAGCAUUAGAGCACCAGCACUUUGCCUACACAUGUAUUCUGAAGCAUCAGAAAGAGCAAAGGUUGACAAACAAAACUUUGACUGUUCUGAAUGCUUAAAACUGCAACAAAGUGUAACAUGCUGUCUGCUGCAUCUCAGGACCUGAAAUAAAGAUGAUACGCACGCAGCAGUCGGGGUGAUCGCCGUCGCCCGCGCAGAGCAACGCGGCGGCGUUCUGGCGGUACGGGUACGGCGGCGCUGGCAGUAAGUCAGGUAGGUGAGGAAGAGGGCGCAGCAGGACGCGACCGUGGCGGAGGCUGGUCGGUUGCGCUCGCCAGGAGCGGAGGCCGGCCGGGACGGAGCCGGGGCGAGCGGAAAGUGGAGACGGGGACGAAGUGCGUGCCGGGCCAGGCGUCGCAGGGGAAGCUGAGGAUGGGCGGCGCGCGGUGGGGCUCGCGGAACGGGCGGCGGAAGCCGGUCGGGGCCCGCGACGAGAGUAUGGUCGGCGGACGGGAAGCGCGGCACCUCGACAUGCUCGAGCUUCUCUCCCGUCGUGCGGUCGUGGCGAUCCGCUUUGACUUAGCCUCGAGCUCCUGGCCUCGCGAAUGGGAUCCGACGGUCCAGAUGGCCUAAACCCCGGACGGUAAAUGAAAUACCGUCCACCCCGAGUGUCCGGCGCGCGCUCGCCGCCGCCGUCGCGCCCUGCUUCGUCGGAGAUCACGGCUUCGCGUCGAUGCGCCGCGCUCCCACCGGAGGUCGUCGUCUCCUUGUCCGAGGCUAUAACGCCACCAGUGCCUGAGCAAAUCCUUCCGGCGCGGCGCCUUAGCACAUAUACUCGCCGCGAAAUGCCCCACGCACGCGCGGCCCGCGUGUCGCCGCCGCCUCGUCGUCGCCGUGGUCCGCCGUCCUGUUCUCCUCCUAGGUAACCGGCGCCGCUUUGAGGGCCUUGCCGGCGGUGUCCGCGGCCUCUGACAUGACCCUGUCUGAAACAGCGCGUGACCUCAUCUUGGGCACUCUCUGCUGGAGCUUCACUGACACGGCCGGUGCGCGUGUCUGUCUGCAGUAGCAUCUCUGCACGAAACAUGUAGGAUCGCAUCGCCCCUACGCUGUAAACGUCAUCGUGAUGGUUUCUUUGUGCAGUGCAGGUUAUCAAACAUAUUACAAUUGUCAGUUCAUCUGUUGCUGUCUGGCGUAGUAUUUGUAAUUUUUGUUGAUUGUGCUUUGCACACUGUGAGCCGAACUGAAGAACCAAUCAUCUUUGAGCGUCGCAGAAACAAACUACAAACAUCCUCAUCCAGAGACCAAUAGCGACGCAAGUACGUGAUGCCUUUGGCUGUCUGGCGUAAUCAGCGACCAACAGCGACGUCACUGCCCAUCACUGAAGCCUAGUCGCGUAGAGACCGCAGGCCAACAGCGACGGCCGCCAUGCCACCAUCUGCCUGUAUGUCUGUCUGUCCAACGCGGUGUCUCUUGUGCAAGCCACUGCACCCUGGCCACCCAUUUUGCCCCUCGGCUGGCUGGGCCGGCCACGAUCACGAGGAGGCUUGAGAUACCCGCAACCCGCCUAUAUCCGAACAAUCCCCAGCUCCACAUCCGCGUCGUCGUCACAACUCACAAGAGAACACUGUUCCUUAAGGCAGAAGGCGAAGUAUAGCGGGAUAGAUCCUCGGAGCCCACCCCUUUUGUGCGGCACCGCAGAAUUAAUCAGGGAUCAGAGAAAGAUACGGGCGCCCGAUUAGAAAUAUCUCAGGCUCUCAGCAGAACGUUCUCUGAGUGGCACGUAUCUAAUCCUCCUGCAUUCUGGACCACACGGCCCUGUGCCGUGACGCCGCCAUGCCGGUGGCGUUCGCAGCUGGCGAAACGCUCGGGCAGACGCAACGCAACCCGCGCGUCCGGAUUUCCCGGUGCAUCCACAGCCACCCUCAUGCACGUCGCGGUCGCGCCCAUGGCUCGCCACGCGGGCAGCCACGGGCAAGCAACGAACGGGGAGCGCGGGGCCGGGCCGGGGGGGGGGGGGGGGGGGGGGGGGGGGGGGGUGGGUGCCCCACUUGCCACGACCCGACGGGCGGAUGGCGUGGCUGCUGUGACAUUCCAGUACGUGCGCGUGUCGUCUGCUGGCCUCGCGUAGACGCGCGGCCACGGCGGCGGUUUUCUUUUCUCCCGUUGAGUGCUGGCCAACCUCUUGUGCUUCCUUCCAAGCUUCCGCCUAAUCGCAGAGGUCUAGAUAGCGGGUGGCGAGCUGGAGAUUGAACGGGGAGACUUGUCUUCGCGCCCAAGGCCGGUUUCCACGUCGAGAUCGAUCGACAGAUAUCUUGGACGGAGCCGGCCGCGCGCCCGGGCCUUAUAAGCUCUCUCUCCGCCCCCUGGCUCUCCUCACUUUGACUGGAAAGAAACACGGGUCGGAUCGAUCGAGCUACAGGAAACUGAACGCUCGCACUUUGCCUUGCCGAGGAGAAGGAAGGAGCUUAUUGGAUCGAUCGAAUUCGUCGUCGGCCUCGAUCGAUCGGCAGCUUGCAUUGGUCGAUCGAUGGGCGUCGCGUUCGGGUGCUUCGGACUCGGAGGAGGGUGCGUGCCGCGCGACGGAGAUCACGGCCAGCAAGGUAUGCAUUGCAUUCGUGUAUGUACAUUACAUUGAUGCAUUUUAGUGUGAACUGAAUGAUCAUGUCGUUCCUACAUUGAUAUAGGAUAAUGCAUGCGCACCUGUCGAUUAAUCGUACAAUGUCUGAUCAUGCUAUCAUCACCGCGCGCACGUGCUUUGAAUUCGUGCGGUUGCGUCCGUGCGUGCAUGCGUGUAGCGACACGCCAAAAAAAGGACCAGCCGCAAAACAUCCGUAAACGAUGCAUGUUGUCGCUUCGCUUUGACACAUAGCAAAAUGCACAAUCUUGUUUACAUCAUCCAUCAUUUCUGCAUUAUUAGGAAACUUAAGAAAUUAUAAACCCACCCCGUAUAUAAAGACCCUGCGUGCACAUGCAUACCCAUUCACGAAACCUUGUGGACUACUGGAUCAUAGAAUGGGUGGUAAUAACAUGCUCAAGUGUUUCGGAGCUUGCAUCCAUCACCAUCAUCGCCAAGGUAGCUGCGCUGCGGACAUCCAUCCAUGAUGCGUGUUUCGUCUAACUAGCUUCUUUGCUUCAUUAAGGUCUCGUGACCCAUACACAUUUAGUGGAUGUCCAAGAACUCUGUCGCUAACCUUUAGUCUCAUGUCUUGUUGCUCUGGCAUGCACAGCAGUGCACGAUCCCAAGCCGCUGAUGACGCCGUCGUCGAGCUUCGACUUCCGCGAGGAGUACACCAGCGCGUUCCGCACCGAGUCCUACAACGACUUCUGGGCGCGCGUCCUGGACAUCACCCUCGCGCACGGCGCCGGGCUGGUGCCUCGCCCGGGCGCCACCGGCACGGCGUCCAAGCGCCUCCCCUCCUACCGCCUCUUCGCCGAGCACCUCCUCGAGCCUGACCAGCGCGCCGUCCGCGCGGCCCUCGCCUCGGCCCGCAAGGGCCGCCUCCACCCUGGCGUGCGCGACCUUCUCGCCGCCUACUACAACGAGACGGCCAGCGCCUCCUUCCUGUGCAGCCACCUCCUCAAGGACAUCGAGCAGAUCCGCCUCCGCUACCGCCCGCUCAAGAACACGCUCCGAAAGCUCGCCCGCGACGUCGGCGUGUCCAGCCUCGCCGACGUCUCCGCCGCCCUCGGCCAGCCGUUCACCGCGCUGGCCGUGUCGCAGGGCAAGCUCCGCCAGGUGCAGCUCAGCUCCGCCGACCUCCUCAAGAGCCUGGACUCCAGCAGGAAGAAGGCGCGCCUCCGGAUCAAGACCCUCGCCCGCCUCAGACAGGCGCUCUCGGUCUCGCUCAUCACGGUCGUCGCCGCCGUGGCCGUCGUCGGCGCCUUCAUCGGCGUGCAUAUCCUGGCCGCGUUCGCGGCCUUCCCGAUGAUCAUGUCGCCGGCGUGGCUGGGCCUCUUCUCCGGCCGGACGGUGCGGCGAGCUCUGGUGCAGCUGGAGGCUGCGGCCAAGGGCACAUACAUACUGAACAGGGACAUGGACACCAUAAGCCGGCUCGUGGCGCGGGUGCGCGACGAGGGGGAGCACAUGCUCGCGCUGCUGCAGCUGUGCGUGGAGCACCGCGCGCUGGCCGGCGAGAAGGGAAGGCUGGUGCAGGAGGUGUUGAAGCAGCUGUGCAAGAACGAGGAGAACUUUAGGCAGCAGCUGGACGAGCUGGAGGAGCACCUCUUCCUGUGCUUCAUGACCAUCAACAAGGCUAGGAGCAUGGUGAUGAACUUCAUGGCUGCCGCGGAGCAGAGUUCCGGCUGACCACGAGAAAGACAAAUUUGUGCGUGUAGAAUGUAGAACAGCGUGUACAUACAUGCAUACUAGUUUUUAUUUUUCAGUACAGAAAAAAAGAAAAAAAAGAUAGGCAAAGAAUUCUCAACACAGGCCUUUCCGCUUUUGUUUGAUUUUUUUCCUACCCAUAAACAGCAUAUUAAACAUUCGGAAUAAUAGCCUGAUCUAGUCUAGGGUUUAAAUACCCAGCAUACAUUGAAUUUCAAUAUAAUGAAGCGGAAACAAUAUCCACUCAAUUUUUCUGGAGCUAUGAGUACAAUAUUAAAGUGCAACCGCUGGGGUCACUACUAAGUAUGCUGAAUACAAUAAUAGCCUGAUUUUGGGUUUUACUACCCUGCAAAUGCUGAAUACCAGUAUUGUGAAACUGAACCAAUAGCCACUCUAAGAAUUUUUCAAGAGCUCAGAAUACAAAUACCCCAGUGCAAUCACAGGAACUUUGUUCAUUCACUACUAAUAUGUACUUAUGCCUUUACAGAACAUAUGACACGAUGCAAAUGGCCCAUGAUGGGAGUUUUCCACUUGAUUGUCUAAAAAACCAAGCCGCUUACAUAAGUACAUAACAGCAGAAUGGUGAACAGAAGGAACUGUAGACAAAACUGGUGCCAAAACUUGUAAGGCUCAAAUUUCGAUCUACACUUCUACUAUCAUAUCAUAAAUGGCAAUUGAGCAGUUUAUGUUAUAAAUGAAUUUUCAUCCAUGUAGUAGGGAGCCAAAUCAAACAGGUGAAAUUCUCCCUUCAGGCAUCUUUCUCUCCACUUGGCCAAUCUUUGAGGGUGGCCAAAUGAUGUGGGUCACCCUCCCCUGAAUUAGACCUAUGGGAAUCUGAAAAAAAACAGCACAAAAAAUAUUAAGUACCAACGCAGCAUACUUUAUAUUAACAAAUGAUAUUGGUUUCUUAUAAUUAUUGUGAGUUUAUUCACUUUUGCGGCUCAAAGUAGCCAAGAACAAACUGUGCGCCCAAUUUAAGCUUUCUCGCCAACCCCUAUAUCAACUUGUUGAUUGGACCAAUGACAAAUGAACUGAACCAUAGUGUCUAUCUAAACAAGCACACUACAAAUAUUGUUGGUAGCAGUUUUAAUGCUUUAUGAUUCAAUAAUUCCCAUGCUUGGCAAUCAAUAAAACAAUAUGUUCAGAACACAGACUAAACCAAGUUUGUUGCCUGUUUUUUCCUGAUGUAAGAUCAAAAUAGAGCUAUAUAAACAGGAAGACAGUUCUGCAAGUUGUUAAGCCUUUACUGUUCUCAUCAAGUAUAAAAGUGUGUGAUCCUGACCUCAGGUGCACUAACAUGAUUGCUUGUUGUGAACUUCUGAUAUAGGUUGUCUUGACUGUCACACUUUUUUGCUUUGUUUUCAUUUGUCAGUUUCUGCUUUUUUUUGUAUCUAGUUUGUGCAGUUUUGUCCAUUGUCCGCAGUGUCCAUAGGAAUUUGAUUUUCAGCAAAAAAGAUGCAACAAGGAAUAAGAGAUAAUUUACCAUUUUGUAAUAAUCUUAAGUAUUGUAGUUUGAUAUUAACUAUGCAUAUUUGAAUGUUGUAAUGUAUAAUAUGAUAUAGCAUUAUUCAAAGAGAUACCAGCAAGGGCAAGCAUGAAUGAAUUUUGUAUAUUCUGGUGUGUUUGGUUAUCUGCUGCCCUCUAUCACCUAAUGGUUAAUCUAGCCCCAGAUACUCCAUAUGCACAUUCUAGGCACCCAGUCUCCAUUUAAAAUGAUGGGUAAGUAUCUCAGAACUUGACCAGAGCACUCCCAUGAGUUUCAAAUUUUAUAACAAGAAGUUAAGCCUCAAAUUCUUUGCAUAAGUACCAGUGCUGGGCGGUUUGCUACAGCCUCCAUAGAUUUCAGAUCCACAAGCGUAUUAAGAAUACUGCCCCUCACGAUUGAAGUACGAAAAAAAUCCAACCAUGAAACAAAAAGUUCCCUAACCUGUCAAAAUUCGAUACUAAACAAGAACACUGAAUGCAUUAAUAAUUUUCAUUCAACCAACUUGUACAUUAUUAACCCAGACAAGGGUACAGAUGCAGGUUUGGAGAAGAAGCAACUUACUGGGCCAAAUGCUCGAGAAUCCCAACUACGAGCAGCAUUAUCACCUUCAACCCAGCAAUGCCCUUCUGGGAUCUUAGUAACCUUAGGGGACCCAGGGAGCUGUAUCCACUCACCAGGAAGUGCAAUCAAUCUCUUCACAAACAACUCCUUAUGAUUGCUAGGGCACCUGCAGACCACACAAGGAACAAUCAGACUCGACUCUCGAGACAUGGAACAAGUUAGCGCAUCAAUCUUUUUGUGGAAUUGCCCCCAUCCUUACUUGAACAAAACCACAUCACCAUGUGAGAACUUGUACUUCUCAAGGCAUCUUCUUUCUGCUAAAACGAAAUCACCUGGUUCCAACACCCUGGUCAGCACAAACGAGAAGACAAACUACUUGAAUAGGGAAGAAUGAACCAACUGUCCAUGACAGCUUGAUAUGUACAAAUUGAAAUCACAAUACCCUGUAAGACACUGUUGGCUGCUGUGAAGGUAGGAUACAUAGAUUCACCAGUCACCGAGACGAAUGUCACACAACGAUCGGAAAUGGUGACGCCAAGUAGAACUGCCAUUACAUUCUUCUUGGCAGUUGACCAAAUAUGGUUGUAGAUUCCCAUAUCCAAGUACCCAACUAUCCAGGCAGUCAUAAAGAUAGCAACAGUAAGUGAAAAUACUGAAUAAACACCAGUACAUCAAUAACUGGGCAGCUAAGACAAUGAACGGCGUAUACAAGAAAUGUGUGGAAGCAGAAAUUCCUCCGGCGGAUUUAACUUGGAGCAUGUGAAAUCAAUCAAGACUUACCAAGAAAUGGGGGUAAGGUUGGUACGGGUGGGUUUCCACUGAUCCAGCGGAGGGACGAGAAGAUUUAGCGCUGGAAAUUCGGAGAAGCAACUGCACUCUUGUACAGUUAUAUUACGGGGUAGAUCGAGGAUGCUUCCGAAGAGGCGCCCGAGAAGAACGGUGGGAUGCUGCCGUCGUCGUCGGCGGCGGCGGCGCGGGCGCGGGGGUUUGGUUUGGGUUGGGCCUGUUCAGUCGGAGAAGGCAGUGCGCGCCCUAGUCGAAAAGAAAAGGCAAAGCAGCCGUCCGAUCGCGCAUCAACGGUGUAAAUUAAAGCCCGUUUACUGGGGACUGGUGAGGGCGUGAGGCUGGGGGUUGGUACGGGUCUGGCUCCAGCCGAGCUGAGCCGAGGGAGGACCCAACUGUGCAUUAGGUCGGCUCCGACUCCGACCCGCAGCCGGCCCUGCCCACAGACAUCGCCCCCUGCCACCGUCGGCGGCGGCGACUGACCCCCGUAGCAAGGCGCCACCGCCACGCUUCGCCCCUGUCGCGCCGCGCGGCCACUUUCUGCGGCUGCUCUACCCCAGGCGAAACCUCCCAUCUCGUCACGGUAAGCACCACUUCUAUCACCGGGCGUCCGCGCCCUGUAUCCGUGCUCUUGGAUUCGACGAAAUCUGGCUUCGCACGGGCUUCUGUAGUAGGGUUUUUGCGUUUCAAAUAACGAAAUUUUGGGUUCGUCACUGGUCCGCCAUGCUGUUGCUUACAGCUUAAGUCACGGCCAUGGAUUUUGAUUAGGGUUUAUAAUAUGGUUUAGCGUCAGCAAAGUCUUGUUAUCGGUGCCUGUCUCAGGAAUAGGGUUUUGCGUCUCGGUAGAAUGUGUUAUUAGUGGCUUAAAGCGGAGCUGAUGAUCAGUUUGCAGCAGCGGGUGGUAGGCUAGAGAAUGCCGUGGAUCCUCAAGUCACAAAUGUGCAAAUUAUCCAUUUGUCCGGAUUUGAUCUGGUUUUAAUUGGGUUUCAUUUUUCUGAGUCUGUGACCUCUGUUCUAUGUUUUAGUAUGGGAUAUUUGAUGCUAUAGUAAUUUUGAUACUGUUAUUAGAAGGAUUGUGGAAUUUAGUUCCAUGAUAUAUGAAAAGUUAUGGUGUCAAUUACUCAUUGCUGUGUUUAUUGAACUUGUUGCCAGUCAAUUGUAUACAAGUUUCUUGUUUUCCCCAAUGCCAUUUUUAGAUUUUUAUCUUAUAUUACAGAUUCAUCCAUUACUUCCAACUCGUUAUAGUUAGGAUUCCCUUUUAUAGUUAUAGCAGCAUAGCAGACGUCUGUGGUUCCUUUUUGGAGUUCCAUUGUACUAUUGGAAUUUGUAUGCUUAUUGCUACUACUAAUGCUUAAUGUGCAGCAAAUUUAUAUUAGAGACUUCCUUUCGAUUGCAGACCUUGUUCUGCAGUUCUAUUAUAACAAGUUCAACUGUGGAAUGCUUAUUUCCUUUUGCUAUUGUCUACCUCAAUUUGAUAUUGUUUAUCAUUCUUUUGUGUAUAGAUACCUCAAGUUUCUAGCUACCUGACUGUAUGCAGUAGGAACUACGAUGGAUGGGUCUGAGUCUAGUAGAGGUCGCAGCAAGCAGGAAGUUGAGGAAAAUGUUAAUACAAGGAGCAGUUGGAAGGAGGAACAUGAAAAUCAGGAGAAUGCAGAUAGCAGAAAGUAUUCUGACAGAUCCAGAAAACAUGGAUAUGAAUAUGAAGUUGGGCAUCAGGAUGAUGAUAGGAUGAUCACACCUUCAAAUGAUAGGAAUGAAUCAAUGAGGAACUCAGAUAGAAGCUCAGGCCUGGCCCGCAGUGCUGACGAAGACAUCUAUAAUGUGAGAAAGGACUCACGAUCACCCAAACUUCCAAGGAGAAGCCCUGAUGAUUCCAAGGAUAGGGACUAUGAUAGAAGGAGGGGAAGAGAGGACAAGAAUGAAUGGGAACCUUCAAGAAGAUUUAGCCCCGAUGCUUCUGCUAGGAGUUCCGAGAGGAGGGAGGGUAGCAGGGAGAAGCAACAACGGGACCAAGAGGAAAAGGCUUCAGUCAGGAGGACAGAUGAGGUUUAUGCUGAUGAAAGUGGUGGUUCUCUUAGGGUUGACACAAGAGAAGCCCAAAGGGAUGAUAAAUCAGACAGAGGGAGGGACAGAAGUUGGAAUGAGAAAGCCCGAGAUCUUGAAGGGUCUAAGGAUUAUGGUAGGAACAGUCAGUUGCGAGAUCCUAAGGAGGCAAAUGAUGCUGAAUGGAGAAAUGCACAGGAAAGGCUAGAUGGUGGGAAUUUCCAUGGCCGAGGUGGGUACCGGAGAGAUUCUAGGGGUAGAUCUGAAAGUGUUAGAGGUCCCUCAACCUAUGGGAAUCGAUAUGACAAUUCUGAUUCCAUAGAGAUUCGGCCUAAUAGUAAUCUUAAUUUUGGAAGGGAGGGCUCUGCUUCUGGGAGAAGAUUUGAAGUGGGAGCACAUCGGGAUUCAGUACCAGGAGGAACUGAUGAUAAAUCCACUGAUUAUCCUGAAUCAGAUCCAAGUGGCGGCACCAGCAUGGUUUCUUCAUUUCCUCAACAAGGUCCAAAAGGUGAUAGACCAUCUAGAGGAGGAAGGGGGAGGCCAAAUGGAAGGGAUUCUCAAAGAAUUGGAGUUCCAAUGCCAAUCAUGCCUCCUCCAUUUGGUCCUCUCGGCCUGCCACCAGGACCAAUGCAGCAUAUGGGACCAAAUAUUCCGCAUUCCCCAGGUCCUCCUCUUCUACCUGGCGUCUUCAUGCCGCCAUUUCCAGGACCUCUUGUGUGGCCUGGAGCACGAGGUGUUGAUGUGAAUAUGCUUUCUGUUCCUCCCAACCUUCCCAUGCCUCCUCCAGUUGCUGCUGAACAUAGGUUUACACCAAAUGUGGGAGCUGGUUCUGGUCAUAAUAUUCACUUAAAUCAAAUAGACACUGGGUUAGGUGCUCCAACAGAUGUAUCAGGAUUGGGUUACAAUCAUAUGGGCCCGCAAAGCCGUGACAUGCUCCAUGAUAAACCAGGUUGGACGCCACAUAGGAACAGUGGACCAAACAGAAAAGCUCCUUCAAGGGGUGAACAAAAUGAUUACUCACAGAACUUUGUGGACACUGGCAUGCGGCCUCAAAAUUUCAUUAGAGAACUGGAUCUUACAAGCGUAGCAGAGGACUAUCCAAAGUUGAGAGAACUCAUACAGAGGAAGGAUGAAAUCGUUGCGAAGUCAGCUUCACCGCCAAUGUAUUACAAGUGUGACCUGCGGGAACAUGUUCUUUCUCCAGAAUUUUUUGGUACCAAGUUCGAUGUUAUUCUUGUGGAUCCUCCAUGGGAGGAGUAUGCCCAUCGUGCACCAGGAAUCACAGAUCACAUAGAAUAUUGGAAUGCUGAGGAGAUUAUGAAUUUGAAGAUUGAGGUUAUUCCCGUUUCUUUCUUCAAACCUUUCUCUUUUGGGGGUUCACUUAUGCUGCAGAAUUAACUUGUCAAAAUGUAUUUUUGAAUCAACAGGCUAUUGCAGAUACACCCUCCUUUGUGUUCCUUUGGGUUGGCGAUGGUGUAGGCCUUGAACAGGGUCGUCAAUGUCUAAAGAAGGUAGUAUAGCUGCUAUUUUUUUACUUUUAACUAGCUGGUUGCCUGUGCUGUGCAUCAUAUUUCCAUUAAAAAGCAUAUAGAAUUCUAGGCUCUAACUAUUUGAUUACAUAUAAAAUUAAGCCACAAAGGAACCACAUAUGUAUAAAGUGGAAGGCCCUCUAUGCAUUAUCUUACACACAUAGGUACACACAAUUGCCCAGAAGAUCCAUAUGUAGAACCAACCACUACUAUCACUAACUGUGCUUUCUACAGAAGUAAAGAUACUUGCACAAUUAUUCUUUUUGUAAUGACAUCCCUUUUGGGGGGUGGGAGAUUGAAAUCAGUUUACAGGAGGGCGACCUGGCUGCUAUAGUCGAUCUGCUAAACUUUACCCAUGAUGUGCUUCAUUCAUGCAUUUUGCCCUCUGAGGGAAGGCAUAGCAAUAUAAACAAUGUUCUAUGCUUUCAUUUCAUCUAGAUAUGUCUUUAAAUUUAGAGCUGUUGAUGAAAUGCUGCAUUAACUAAUAUAUGAUGAUCCUGACUGACUUUUUCUAUUUUCAGUGGGGAUUUCGUAGGUGUGAGGAUGUUUGUUGGGUGAAAACGAACAAGAAAAAUGCAACACCAAGUCUGCGGCAUGACUCACAUACAUUGUUGCAGCAUUCAAAGGUAAUGUUGUAGUUAACUAGUAUGUGUUGUAUCAUUGUGCUGCCUUGUUUAUAUUUUUUUGGAAAACAUGCCACGCUUAUAUUCUCUUAUCCCUGUAUUCUCUGUCCGUCUUAUGAAGUAUAUACUCUUUCCAUGUGCAGGAGCAUUGCUUGAUGGGCAUAAAAGGAACAGUGCGUCGUAGCACGGAUGGUCACGUCAUCCAUGCAAAUAUUGACACAGAUAUAAUUAUAGCUGAAGAACCAACUGAUGGUAUUGUUUUCUUAGGUUUUAUAUGAUCUUUAUUCCUGUUCUUCGUAUAUGCUUGUGAUAUACUAUUUGCUUUAUGACCAAGGGUUAUCAUUUUCAAUGAUGGGGUGCAUAAACUCAAUAAACUUAACUUCUCCAAAUUUUCUGUUCUGUUUUCGUUGCUGCGAUGGUAUGAAUAUUCCGGUUUGGUCCACCAAAAUGUAGUACUGUUUUGUAAAUUUGGCUUGGUUGGCAAAAACAUAUUUGUCUUGGCUUUUUAGGAAUUUGGGAUUUACAAAUUAUGUGAAGCAAAUUGUUCGUUGCUACCAUUUCCUCUGGGACAUGCUUAGUUGUUCAUGGUGAGCUUGGUGUCUUUUGAUCUACAAUAAUCAGAAUUGUGAUUAAAAAAAUGAAACUAGAUCAUAUAUUAUUGACUUUACUCAAACACCUAUAGCAAGUAUUCCGGUAGGUCUGCAUCUCUUAGUGGUAAUAUCACUAAGCCCUUAUUGUAAUAAUCAAAUUGUAUGCAUGAUUGUGAAUUAUUUUUUUCAUUUUUUUUCGUAUGGUUGAUCUUAAUGUGUUCUCUUCUGUAGGUUCAACAAAAAAGCCUGAGGACAUGUAUAGGAUCAUUGAGCAUUUUGCUCUUGGAAGGAGGCGGCUUGAACUCUUUGGCGAGGAUCAUAACAUCCGUCCAGGCUGGCUUACUCUUGGGAAAAAUUUAUCUUACUCGAACUUCAACAAAGAGGUAUAGCUGGACAUACAACAUCAUGAAUAUACUUACACACGCAAGCCCUUCUAUGCCAUCAGCUCCGCAGAUCUUUUUACAUAGUCUCUGUUAUGAUUUCUCUCUUGCAGACAUAUAUUAGGAAUUUUGCGGACAAGGAUGGAAAAGUAUGGCAAGGAGGUGGUGGUCGAAACCCUCCCCCAGAGGCUCCUCACCUUGUUGUGACAACUCCGGAGAUCGAAAGCCUGAGGCCCAAGUCACCCCCAGCAAAGAACUAGCAGCUGUGGUCAAUUUUGCAGAGCUGGCUACAUUUUUGAAACUGUAGCUUUAACGCUGUUGAAGGUCCAGCUGAGGCCUUGUGAAUUUUCCGUCCGCACAAUUAAAAUUUUUCCGACGGCUCAGUCUGGAGCAACUAUCUGUGAUGGAAAAUACGAUUCACUUUCUCCUAUUGGUGUUCUUUUAAUGCGUCCAAUACUUUUAUGCUCCUCCUUGUUGCUUCAAGGUUGCAGCCAGUAUAUUUGUUCUUGCUGCAUGCCAAGCCCCUCAGAAUAGUAAGGUUGAUUCUAAAUUCGGAUGCUCCCAUUGUGUCUGUCGCAUCGUGCAAGAAACAGAAAUUGUCUAUGCCAGUUUUGCAAAUCGUUUCUGGAACCCUGCCUACCCUGCCUACCUGAUUGAUACUAAGAUGGAGCCAUGGAUAACUAUCCGUGGUAUACAAAAACCAUUUUUAUUACGGUGUUAUAUUUGGAAGGAAUUCUCUCGAGACAUGCACGCGUACGCUUUCAGACAGGCGCCGAUUUGACAAACCCGGGAUACUGACGAUAGUUUCAGACUAAACAACUCGGCAAGGCGCUAACCUGAUUAGCUAGCAUUACGUUACAGCAUAUGUGCAACGACAGCACUGCUUUGUCCUUUUUAUCGGCCGCAACGAAGUGGAAUACCAACCGUGUGACGCACGAGUCGUUCUCGCCCAGAAGCCAAACCGGACCGUCUCGCCGCCGGAUGAUUGCAAUGCAUCUUUUUUUGAAAUGGUUUACGCGUUGUCCCUGCCGAUGGAAUCUUGCAGGGGAUGGAGAUUUUGCCGCGUGAUUCGAGGGCCACGACGCACGCUCCCAUUGCGGGCCUCCAUCAGCUUCGUUUUGGCCUGGCCCCAAGCUAAAUUAUUCGCCGAAUCUGCUGCUGCUUGUUUGUUGUACUACUACACUAAUUAGGUGAAUUUGUACUACUACACAUUUUGCUUGGAGAUGAUAGGCUUCAAUGAAUUGUCUGGAAUUAUUAUCUUGUGUGUCUCUUGUCCUCUCAUGUCGCUGUUGUGUCCUGUACUCCUGUUCUUGUCAGCCCUUUGCUUAGGAUCUUAGCAACAUUACCACUUGGCCGCGAUAUCCCUUCCGAGACAAAUCCUCUAUUAAUGGCUACAGCGACGGAUAAAGCGUAGAAAUCCGGCCAUCCAUCCACUCAUCAUCCCUUCCUCUGCAACACACAAGUCAAUACUUGGAUAUAUCUUGGUUUAAAAAAAUACUUGUAUAUAUACAAAUAUUCCAGCUGCACGCACAACACACGGCUGUACAGUACAGCCAACGUCUCUGUCCCGCUUUUCACCGUGUCUGUCCUCUCCCUCGUCUGCACUACGCUGUCAGCCAUCAAGGAAAAUCACAGUGGCACACUUACUCGGGCAUUGACCUCAGCCUGCAGGGUGAAAACGAUGGCGCCGUGCCGGGUUAACCUCUUCACAGGAUCUGAAACGGCUGCUGGAUCCUGAUGGAGAAAGAAGAAAGCACGGCACACAGUUUGCACGCUGUAGCCUGAAACAACCCUCAGGAAAACGUGCUAGUGACCCAUCGCCGUUCAGACGUGCAUGCAAAUUAUUUCGCGAGGCGAUUGAUGGAUGGCGCGCUGCACCUUCCAGGAGCCGAGUUGGUCGGAGAGAGCGCGGCGCAGGACACGAUCGGACGGCCUGGACACGAGAGAAUGGACGUGUUUUUUGUUGGGUUUCUCUUCUCCGGUGUCCCGCUCCGUCGGCUUCGCGGCGGGUUGUUGGGGUUGGGUUCGGUGUGACGCGCUCCGGAUUCUGACGCGCGCGGGUCAGGUGAGGUAGCCGGCCAGGGCUUCCCAAAUUUGUCAGGGAAUCGUACCAGCUGGGUGUCGGGUUCGAAAGAACCGGCAGGGUGAAGGCUACCACCAGCCGCUGCUGCUGCUCCACAAGAUUUCAGCGUCAGGCGGUCAGUGUAUCAGUGAUGGAUGGACGCACGUACAGUGAGCUGGGCUCCUGAAGAAUCAUGAGCCUGCCUGGCUGAAAACAGCUCGCAUCGCGUCCUGCUCUGCUCCUGUGCGCGCGUGUUCGAUCGAGAGAAAAAGGAAGCAUAGUAUUUACUAACGGUAGUAGGUAAUGGAUGUGUGGAUCGAUGGAAAUGUACAGAUAGCCUUGACAUUUGCGGCCACAUCUUGCAAAAAUAUCUUCUCAACACUAAGGUUGCACUGGACUGAAACGUGAACUGGGUGUGCAUAUCUAUCUAGCUUGCUGGAUAGAGGGAAUGGCGUGUUCUAACUAACCAAGCUAGCUAGUUCACUUCGCGUACUACAUACAGACUAGGCCGGCACAAAGUUCCAAGAGAUAGGAUGUGUAGGGUGUAGGUCGAGUACCCAUAGCGUACAAUCUCAUGCAUAAUCAAAUCCGGUAACACUAACCAUGGAAAUUAACUUUGGGAGGAUCUGAUGCAUUCCCACGUUUGUCAAUUGUCAAAGAACCCUAAUGAUGAAAAACGUACUAUACUACUCACUGCCGAACAAAUUAAGGAAGACCAUCGACCGAUCAGCUAGCUAGCUGAAAAAUGGAUCCAAACAAGCUGCUUUUGUCAAUGCCUGCUGUUACAGCUUUGACUCGAUCAGUCGUCUUAUCGUCCAGAGUAGCUUAAAUUAAAGUACGGCAGCAAGUCAACAAGUGAGGCCAUCACACAGGUAACGAUGAACCGCUUUAUCUUGUACGUACAUCGGUACAUGUACAUCACCCAGCAGGUGCCACGCAUACCACGAUCCCAAAAACCCUACUACACGUCGUACGUACGCGAGCAACAGUGUCCAUGCAUGUAUCCAUCGAUCUCAACAUCUGGGAAAUGCUUGUGUGGUCGUCUGUGCUCAUGGUCCAAAGUCCAAGCCGUAGCCUUCAACCGAUCCCUAGCGGGAGAUGAUUGAGCAGCGACCAUUCCACUGCUGUUGCUGGGGAAAGCGUCUCAGUAUCGGUUUCUAACCCCCUUUUAUUACUGGUUGUGCAACCGGUAUUGCUACUUCGGUACUAAAGGGUCCCCUUUAGUACCCUUUAGUACCGGGUCAAACAACCGGUACUAAAGGAUAUUAAAAAAAUAAAAAAAGAAAUCCGGCCGGCCGCCUGGCCCUGCAUCCCGCUGGCCGCACCCGGCUGCCCCGCCACCGCGCCUCGUUGGCGCCAGCUACCCCUCCCCCGCGACCCGCAUCCCGCUGGUCGCACCUCGCUGCCCCGCUGCCGCCUGCCGACAUCUGUGGCCCCACUAGAUCCGGCCGGCCGCACCUCGCUGCCCCGUCGGUCUGGCAGCCGCCAGAGCUUGGAGCGCCGGAGCUUAGGCACGGUAGGAGGGAAGGGAGGUGCGGGGGAGGGAGAGGGGCGUGGUGGCGCCGCCGCCGUCAGCCCCGGAGCAAAAAAGAAAAAAGAAAAUACCUAUGCCCCGCGCGUCGCCGCGUCCGGCCUGCCGCAGCACCCCUGCACCCCGCCGCCUCCGGCUGGCCGCUGCUCCCCCGCGCGCUGCUGCACCCCCACACGUCACCGCUUCCCUGCUGCCGCUCCUCACUGCCCUGCACCUCGCCACGCUGCCGCUACUCACUGCCAGUGAGGGACGAGUAGAGGGGGAAGGGGAGGGGCAGCAGAGCUGGCUGGCGAUUGAGCAGAGAUUGGGGGAGCGAGAGAGGAGGGGGUGAGGCCUGCGGCGGGAGAGGGGGCGGCUGGGGAGAAGAGAGAAGGGGAAGAGAUAAGUGUGAGAGAAGAGGAGAUAAGUUUGAGAGAGAAGAGAUAAGGAGGCGGGUGGGCAGUUAGUACCGGUUGGGAGCUCCAACCGAUACUAAAGGUUGCACAUUAGUACCAGGCUCAGGCACAUUAGUACCGGGUGCAGACUCCACCCGGUACUAAUAGGUGACCUUUAGUACCGGUUGGAGCCAACCGGUACUAAAGGGGUCACGGGAGGCUCUUGGGGAACUAGCCGUUAGACACGGUACUAAUGCUCAUAUUAGUACCGAGUCAAAAAUCAACCGAUACUAAGGGUCAGAACCAAUGCUCAGUUUUCCAGCCAGCGAUUUGAAAGUGAAGCCGCAGCAUAUGAUGGAGUGCUGGGAGAGCGAGAGCAUUACAUGUGCUGAUAGAUGGUGUGAAUGGAGGGAAGACUUCGCAGGGAGCUAGCGAGCUAGCUGCAUGCCGUCGAAAUCGAUCGGAGGACCAUGGUUUCGUGGCGUGCAAUUAUUUUGGCGAGGCGACUUGUGAACGCAUUCAAUGCGCGGGCACCAUCUACUCCCAGUAUAGCUAGCUUAUCGACGACGUGCAUCAGUGCCUGGCUGCAACUGGCAUGCUGUACGCACUUGCAAAUCGUAACGCUGACAAUUCGGUGUACUAAGUGUAUCUACAUCUAUAUAUAUCGGUAGUAGGUCGAAUAGGAGUAUAAGACACAUCAAUUACAUCGUACAGCCAACAGAAUUGGUGUGAUAUAUAACACGUGAGUACGUGACAACAAAGACAACCACUCUGUCGUCUGAAAUUGCAAGGGUGGUUAUUUCAAUUCUUUAGAAAAAAGGAGCAACCAUUAUUCUACUGCCACAUAAUUUUUGCGAUACAAGGUUGAUGCUAAUAGAUUUAUAUUUAAAAAAAUACUUUCUUACAAAUACACAUUUAUAUUAUGUAAACAACAUAUUAAUAGAGUAAUUGUUGGAUAUACAUAACUAUCUUACUAGAACAUGAAGCUUCAAUCAUGUUCUGAAGUCAAGAGCAGUUAAAACGGAGGAAAAACUGCAGUACACGACGAGGCCGUGGACGAAAUCAUGCAGCUGCUUUUUCAGUGUUGAGGUGAUAUCCAAAUACACGCAUUGAAACUCGUGGGGACGAGCAUCCAUAAAUGCCUUCCCACCUGGACAAGCACGCGACCUCGUCCGCUUGCCCUUGAUCCUACCGAAUUAUUUUUUUAUUUUAACCCUUUUACAUCUAAAAUUUUGAAAAUAACCCCACCCAAUCUAAAUUACCAAAAAUUAGCGCUUUUGGUCGCGCUAAAAGAUGCGGUUCGACUUAUAACAGAGUCACGCCACAUACAAUGGUGUGACUAAAAUACCACAAUGGUGCGGUCACGCCAGCAUGUAUGGCGUGACCAGCGUCGAGCUGGUUGCAGGUUGCUAGCCUGUGUAGUAAGUGCAAAAAAAUCAGUUCACUUAACCUUAUUUCCUUUUAUACUUUAAUUAGCUAAUCAGCACUUAAAUUCUCCAAACUUGAUAGACAUAAUACAUAAAGUAUACAUGUUCCAUUUUAAGUGCUUGCACUCCAAAAUAUGAUGUAAAUAAUGAAAAAUCCUAUUUCAAAAUAGUCUAAGAGUUAUUGUUUCCCAAGUGGCUGAAAUGUCUGUGUUGUGGAUAUGUUAUCAAAUAGCCAUGUUGAGGGGUGUGGAUUUUUAGAUUUUGGCCAAACACUCCAAAUUUGGACAACAUGAAAGUUGGAGUAGAAAUUAUACACAUUGUCAUAGAAAGAUUAUGGUUCAACGAUCUAGAGCAAUGAGAGUUCAAAGAUCAAGUCCAAGGUUGCAAAUUAUCCCAUUUUCAGCCUCGACGGGAAAUCUCACCGAGUCCUGAAAACAGUGAUAACUAUGCUUCUUUGGAUUAUGUUUUAAAAAGAUUUCAUGUAUCAACUUUGGUUCACCUGAAAAUUGAGUAGAAAUAUCGGGAUUUGGGAAGUUAAGAAGGACCAAAACGGAGACUUGAUUAUUUAUUUUGGAGCCUAAAGUUUGAACUUAUCACUAUUUUUAACCAUGACAGGAUAUCACCGAAACUCUGAAGCUAAGCUCGAGAUCACUUAACCUAUUUAUAAAUUGGAUACUUCAUUUUAUACACCAUAUUUUAGAGUACCAACACUUAAAAUGGAACAUAUACACUCCAUGCAUUAUACCUGACAAGUUUGAAGAAUUUAUGAUCUCAUUAGCUAAUUAAAAUAUAGAAGGAAAUAAGGCUACUUAGAAAAAGGCUAGCAAGGAGCUUGUCAUGCCAUACUUUGGCGUGACUGACCGUCACACCACGCAACUUGGCACGUCAGCCCCACGUGGUGACCGCGCCAUCAUGGGAUUUUAGUCACACCAUUGCAUGUGGCGUGACUCUAUUAUAAGUCGUGCCACGGCUUUUGUGACUGACCGUCACACCACGCAACUUGGCACGUCAGCCCCACGUGGUGACCGCGCCAUCGUGGGAUUUUAGUCACACCAUUGCAUGUGGCGUGACUCUGUUAUAAGUCGUGCCACGGCUUUUGGCACGACCAAAAGCGCUAGUUUUUGCUAAUUUAGAUUGGGAGAGGUUAUUUUAAAAUUUUAGAUUUAAAAGGGUUAAAAUAAAAAAAUUCUGAUUCUACCGGGGUCGGAAUGGAUAGAAUUUAAUUUGGUCAGGGAUCCAUACUGCCAAUAAUCAUACAACUUGGAGCACUUUGUUUUGGAGCUACAGUACUACUAGAACUCGAGGGCAGUCGCAAUGGCAGUCAUCUCCAUGAUCGCACCGUGAGAACUCGAGGGCAGUGCACAUGCCGGUGUUGGCGGAUUCACAUUCAGAACUUUCAGAUGAUGAGGUUCCGGCAUGAACGAAGGGAUUAGGCAAAAGCAGUAAGGGGAAGCAGGGUUGGAGCUAGAAAGCCAUUUUUCCGUUUUUUUUGGGGGGGGGGGGCGCAAUUUUUCUUCAAAAUUUGAUCAAAUUCAAAAAUUUAAAGGACCAUGACUAAAGAAGGCAGAUUCUGAAAUACUUCUGGAAAUAUAAGGUUCAUGUUAAUAAUAGAUUCAUCAUGAAAUACACUUUCACAAUAUAUAUAUAUACAGCAGUCAUUUCUAUUUAAAACAACAGUACAGUUUUUACACAUAUUUUUUGAGCAAAUGUUUUUAUAAAAUAUUUGCACAGUUAAAUUGACACAUAAGAGAUCGCGUCGAUGAUGUCUAGAUGAACUUAUAUUAAUGAUCAAGAUGAGCUAUUAGGAAAGCGGGGGAGCAUACACGAAGCGAAACAGAAUCUGGUUGAGAUGGUGCCAAUAGCAAAUAUUUAGAUAUGCACACUGAGGCAUCGAUCCCUACUAAAAUUAUCAGAUAAAGAGCAAACAAAAUUUCCUACAUUUAGCAUAUCCAAUCAAUCGAUCGUCUAUAUCAUAGAGCAAUCAUCAGAGCCGUCGAGAUGACCCAUUUGAGCUCAUUACGACAAGACCGAAGAAAGGAAAAUAAACCUAUCAACUUCUUCUAGGUCGUACUACAAAAAAAGUUUGUUUAACAUUUGUAUCGUUUAAGCAAGAGCAACAGCUAGCAUGAUUGAAGCUUCCUUGCUUUUUGCCGUUGCGGAGAUGACGUGGUGCUUAAUGUGCUAAUUAACAUUGGACAGCAAAGAUUGUUAGAUUAUCACAAUCUCAUCAGCUCCCUCCUCCUCCUCUGCCUUCGUUCGCACGCCUUCGUUCGUACUUGGAACCUAGGAUACACAUACACGCAUCUAUGCUGUGCCUAUGCGUGCGUCAACCGAUCAAAAUUCAGCAAAUAAUUAAUACCGGGACAUGAUUAGCAACGAUUAUAAAGACAUUUUACUGCAUUGAUCCUUCUCUCUGCCAGCCGGUCAAAUAUCCAAUCCGAACGAACGUCGUUGAUCUGAUGCAGUGCCAUCAUGCUCGCUUUACGGGGAAAAAAGCGCAGCCAUCCACCAGUUCAUGUUCAUCCAUGGAUAGAUUCUGCCGCAAUGCAGGCACGGAUUAUCCUUCCUCAUCCAUAGCAUUAAGAUGGUCAUCUUCCCCAUUAUCUAAAAAAAAAGAUGGUCAUCUUCCCCGGCCGGCCCUGUUCAUCGGCUCUUCCAGUUGAACAGUCCCGGGUCCCCCACCAAACACAAAGCGAUAAUCCAACGCGAUUAGUUAGGUAAACCACGCGUUGUUAAACCUUAAUGAGCCCGCCUGACUUUUUUUACCCGCACCACGUACCCAGGGUGCGCAACGCACGCAUACGACCGGCCGACGGCGACACGGCUGCGGAUGGAUUGGGCGGACGGCGACGAGCCAACCGUCCUGGCUCGUCCCCGGCGAGAAAGGGAUCGGAUUCAUACGAGCUAGUAGCUCUUAAGCUGUGGUGCUGCUGCUGCGAAUGAAGCUGCGGCGUCGCUGUCGGCGUUAACAGGGCCGUGGACCGGUGGCGUCCGUACCUACAGAGAUCGCGCCCCGGCGGCAGAUCGAUUCAUGGAGCUGCUGGCAUUAGAAAAAAGAGCGCGGGCGCGGCGAGCCUUUGGUGGCCGCACACGUACGUCGCCCGCCGCGCCGCGCCGCUUAUUUAAGCCCGGCGUCGUCUGCCUCACUUCACCACCACCACCAAGCAGCCGCAGCCAUCCACCGGCCUACCAGCGCAGCGCUGGACGUAUAUAAACAAGCCUGGCCGCCUCGUACCAACUACGAAGCAGGUAGGCGCGCGCACGACAGAUUGAGCACCGUGCGCUCGCCAGCACAAGAGAGUUUGGUGCCGUGUUGGGCGGCAUCGGUCGGUCGGCCGGCCGGCGGCCAUCAUAUCGGAGGAUAGUCAGCAAGGCGCAAGCUGAAGAGCCGGCUGCUACGCGGAAUCGGGGCAUUGUGUAAGUUCCUUCUGUAUAUCUCAACUCCUAGUUCGUCCGAUCCUUGCUGGUUCUUGCUUUGCUUUCAGGCAUGAAUGGUAAGAUAGGGAUGUGUUAUGUGACAUGAUAUAUAGCAAGGUGCACUUGCCGCCGGCCUGCUAGGUUUGUAUGCAUUUGUAUCCGUGAGAAGGAACGCUUUCAUAACGUACAUAUGCACGUACGCGUACCUACCUUUCUUUUAUUUGACCUCGUAUAUGUGUGUAGUACUCCGCAGCUUCAGCCUUCAAUCUCUUUCAUCAGUCUAUCCCCUGAACCGAUCGUCAUCAGAGUAGAUGAUGGUGAUCUCGAAUUUGAAGCCGGCCGGUCUGAUAAGUACAAAGUACUAGUAACUGGAGUAGCCAAAGAAGCGAGCGAGGAGUAGUGCACAUGUUUCGAAUCCAGCGUACGUACACAGCAAGCAGUCGUCGCGGCUGGACUGAAACGCUCAUGUGUGCAUACGCGCUUGACUGUACUCGGUGCGCAUAUAUACGUACGUCUCGGUAUGUGCAUGCGCGAACAAGUUGCAGCACUACAUGACAUAUCCUGAACUAAAGCCAGAUCGCACUAGUAUAGAUCGUACAUGCAGUAUAAAUAGUUGCAGCACUAGAGUAGGAGUAGUUCAUAGUGGAGACUGGAGAGACAUGGGUGCAGUACUGGAGCCGGCACUACCAGAACAGCAUGCACUGGUCGAUCGCCAGCAACUUGGGACGGGAUCACGGGGACACGCACACGCAUACGGCAUACAUGUCGCCAGGGCCAGGGCAAUGAGCUAGCGCCCGGGCAGAACUUGUUGGAAGCGCGAGUACUUCAACAUCCCCGGCUCCCUGUCAUCAGUGAAUUUUCGAUCCAAAUGGGGGCACCAAUCAUCCAUUCACAAUAUUUGACAAGUCAGCUCGAAGAUUUUGUGCACAAAAAAAGAAGAAAAAAACAGCAUCAGCCACAGGUACAGUAACAGUGCAAAAAAUCAACACCAUUUUUUACGUUUUUUUUUUCUGUCAACACGGGAUCACUGCGGUGGUAGCUAGGUAGGUAGGCGUAGUUAUUUUGAGGAGAAUCAGAAGGCAUCGAUGAUGUGUCCUGGGCGGGCGGAGCAACCGUGACAGGCAGCAGAUCGAAAUCGAACCGAAGCUUAUCCCUGAAACAAGUUGACAACCCGGGCCUUUUUUCGCGGUGUUCCUUGAAGCUGCUGCUGCGAGUCUGCAACGAUCAACUUUUUAUAGCUCCCAAAGCGACGGCCACGAAAAAACCUGACACCAUCUUAUCCUAUCCCCCUCUCUCUUUCCCAGCAUGUGAUUGAUUGCACGGACGCGGGCCUCAGUUGGGCCAAAAGCCCGGACUUGGUGGACGGCUGGAUGUUGGUGUCGGUCGCAGGCUGAUCCGAUCGAACGGUGAUGCGUAGCCCUGAUGCUGGCUGUUGUGCUGCAGCAACUUGCGGUACUUGUAGGUGAAUUGUCCCGGUCUGAUGUCGUUAGGGCACUUAUGAAACACACCACAUGACCUUGUCUUCAAAUCAAAUCAGACGACGCGCGCGGGCGAUUAAAUUUGACGCCGCCGCCCUAGCUAUCUGGGGGAUGGAGGCAUCAAGCUCUGCAUCUCGUCUCUGAUCGAUCACUGUUCUAGCUAGGUUUACUGGCAUGCAGUGAAGCCACAGGACAGUAGGCUAUCUAGCUGGUCGGCGUUGCUGACAUGCAAGUUCAGGGCUUCCAUCGGUGGCCACUUGCCAGUGUUUUCUCUUUCAGUUCAUGGGUCUGGCACUUCCAAGUUUCCAGCAGUGUAGUGUGCCACUAGGCUCCGUGCUCUGCCUUUUGUUUAGACAGGGUAGGUCAUGUGCCCAAGCUAAAUUAUUUUUUUCCUUCAUCUGAUCUGUGGCUGUCCACAAGUUUAUUGACACGUGGCUCCGCUCUUUGCCACUAUUGAGACUGCAAAUCUCUUUAACAAAAAUACAAGCAGAUGACAGAAGGCACCAUCUGAGGGAGCACUGUUACUAGUGGACACUGUACUGGGUCUAACCGCACUUUUAAGACCUCAUCACAGCUGAUGCCACUAACGUCAACCCAUCCCUGUCAGUCAGUGCAACCGACGCUUGAUGAUGAGCUAGACUAGAAAUAAAGCUUCGUUUCAAGUGCCGGAAUUUUCUCUUAUUCCUGUAGGAGUGGAUCAUAUUUUUCUUCUUUUCCAAGCAUAUGUCCUUAUAACUAUGACAGGUUCCUUGUACAGCUCCUACCAAAAUCUAAAAUUGAUCAUUGUCCAUAGAAAUCCUAUUUUUAUUACACCGAAAACAUGUCGCAUAGGGUGGUAAUGGAUCAUGGCCCCAUAUCUUCUUCACAAUCCAAUUCAGCCCUACGUUCAAAACCAUAUCAUAUUAUGUGAUCCGAUCUUUAUUGAGCCUGAUCCUUUACCUCUCCUAAGUAGUAGGAGUACUCCUAUUUCCUCGUAAUCCCAAUAUCUCCUUUUUAUUCUCCAGAAAAGAUUUUUCAUAAUUGCAUUUAUUCCCCGGACCGGAUAUAUACCGGGGGACGUAAAGCAAUCGAUAUUGAUAGCUGCCCUCUAGUUUUGUCGCUUCAACCGGACGCGUUUUCUUGGAUCUGAAGAAAUGGGCACCAUCAGCAGGAAUCCAAUUCAAACAUCAGUCAGCUGGGCAAACUCCCACGCGCUAAAUUCCAAAUCUGAAACAUCAAAAAUCUGGGUUCCGUCUCUAAUCGUAGUUCUCUCAGGAACCGAAUAACGGAUUCACUAGCACGGGAAAAGGAAAAAUGCUAGGUGUACUCUGAUGACAACAGCUCCAUACGAAAAUUGAACCAGUACCCAACACAAAUUCGACCGUUACUUUCCAUGACAUGCCCCUUUUAGAAGUCGACCAAAGUUUGGUGAUGUGAGGGCAUUUUUGCAUGGCAAAUCUAUUAGUAGUCUCCUUAUCCAUAUUGCAAUGUAUAGUUUCAAUAGAAAAUGGUCUUCAGAAAUUAUUUUUUAUGUUUAUUUUCUCAUACAAUAUAUUUUCAAACUUAGGAUUUUGCACCAGAAAAACACCCGAUCCUAUAUCCCGAAAAGAGUCGCGAGAGGAACAUGAACUUUUUUAUGUUUGCGACGCUCAAUCUAGUCCCAACUUACUAAAAAGAUUGUUCACGAUACAAAAAGAAGAGCAAUUCCUUCACAAGAAAGCUAAAUAGGCUAUCCAUGAAUUAAUCCAGUUUAUUAGAUGCACUUUGAUCCACGAAUUAAAAAAAGGUUAUCCAGGUACAACCUGUCCAUAUAACGUUCAAGUAUAGUCGGAGACAGUAGCGAAUUAUGUUUCUAUACUUAGGGUACGUUUGUUUUCCUCCUAAAUUAUAUAAGUUGGAUUAUGGUCCAAGGGUAGGAGGAUAAAAAAUCAUCAUCGGACCGCUAGAGGAUCACAAAUAAUCUGAAAUAAGCUAGCCUUGGAUAGCUUAUUUCAAAUUAUACAUGGUCCCAAAGUAAUAUUUUACCAUAGUACCCAUGACCCAUAAUCCAACUUAUUAUAAUCCCAAAUAAACAUGGCCUUACAGGAUCAGAGAACAAACAUAUCCUCUAGACGAAAAUAAUCACCCAUUACCCAAAAAACGGGAGCUCCGGCUGAGUACGCGUAGUAAAAUGCCAUCCUAGAGCCCCACUGCAUGUGGAACCCUUGACCCAAGUCCACCACAUCCCGUGAAAGCGGAGGAGGCACUGCCCUCCCCCACACGCCCGCCCACACGGCUCCCAUGGCGACGCGCCCCUAUUUAGCCGCCCCCACCUCCAUGCCUCCAUGCCCACCACCGCCACUUUAUUCUCCCCUCCGCUUCCACCAAUCCACCACCUCGUCCUCCUCCUCCUCUAGCAGCCUGGCAGCACUGUGGACUAGCCGCCCUCCCAUCCGAUCCCCUACUCGAAGGUGAGCAGCCCUGCGCCAUGCCAAAUUUCUCUCGCAAUCCGAUCGUAGCGUAGCACACAAAUACCCCUUAUUGAUACCGGUGCCUUGCGUGGAUUUGUGCCGGAUCUUCUGUCUUCGGUAAGGCCGGCUCUAAUCCACUGCAAAACCAGUUUGAUCUGCACCGAAAUCUUGUAGGGGGCAUGUAGGGUUCUAGUGUUUUACCUGCUUGUUCUAGUCGUAGCAGCAGCAGCAGCAGCUGUCCAAAAUCUUGGGAUCCUUUUGGCUUUAUUUGUACUAACUGUGUGAAAGCUCUGUAUUGAUAAAGGCUUUUUUUUCUCUCGCUUGAAUUGUUGCAGGAUACACCGUGAGUAGGCGUGAUGGUGCUUGAUACCAAUACGUGUUCCCCGUUUUCGUGCAGUCUAACAUCGUUUCAUGCUAAAUCGCAUUAGUUUAAUGGGACGAAUACACUACUUCAUUUGAGAUCAUUGCACAUCCUUUAAGAUUUUAUUCUCUUUUCUUUUUUUAGCAAUAUUACUUUCUAGCUCUUUGGUUUAUGUCCAACAUUUUUGUGUCUGCUCCAAUUUUGCAGGGUCUUGAGUUAAUUGGUUGGGCAAGGAGGUGGUUGAUUCCAGCAGGACCCUUCUCGUGAGCCUAGUCUGACCGGCCUUGGUAUUUGGGGGUUGUUCUGUACUCUCUUUAAUUUGUGAGUUGUGACAGGUUCUUGAAGUGCAAUUGUUAGAGUUUUAGUUGUAGCAGAAGAGAGAAUUUGCUAAUAUGGCGUUGGCAGGGACUUCCAAAGUAGUGCUGGGAUGUAUCGCCUUUGGGAUUUUCUGGGUGAUGGCUGUCUUCCCCACUGUCCCGUUCAUGCCUGUUGGACGGACGGCUGGGUCCCUCCUUGGUGCUAUGCUAAUGGUCCUGUUCCGUGUCAUCUCCCCGGAGGACGCAUAUGCUGCAAUUGACCUCCCGAUCAUCGGCCUGCUCUUUGGGACAAUGGUCGUCAGCAUCUUCCUUGAGAGGGCUGACAUGUUUAAGUACCUCGGUAACCUGCUCUCAUGGAAGAGCAGAGGUAGCAAGGACCUGCUCUUCCGAGUUUGCAUUGUGUCUGCCUUUGCAAGCGCACUUUUCACCAAUGACACAUGCUGUGUCGUGCUCACUGAAUUCAUCCUCAAGGUUGCUAGGCAGAACAACCUACCACCACAGCCUUUCCUUCUGGCCCUUGCCACUAGUUCAAACAUCGGCUCUGCUGCGACGCCGAUUGGUAACCCUCAGAACCUUGUCAUAGCAGUGGAGAGUGGGAUUUCAUUUGGUCAGUUCCUGCUAGGAGUUUUCCCAGCAAUGAUUGUUGGGGUUCUGACAAAUGCUGCUAUCCUCCUUUUGUACUUCUGGAAAUACCUGUCUGUGGAGAAGGAUCAGGAAGGUGGGCAGCCAGAAGGGCCAGAGGUUGUUGCCGACGAUGAGGUUACCUCACAUCGGUUCACACCGGCUAGAAUGUCACAUGUUUCUUCCCUGAAUCCAGAUGAUGUGGAUUGCAUAAGUGAACCAAUCAUCAGGAGCAACAGUGUCAGUACCAGUGUGAAUGAGAACCUGAGGAGCAGAAGCAUCAAUUCUGAGGCUGACAUUCAACUCGCCAUCAAGUCUCUGCGGGCAUCGAGCAUGUCACACGAGAUGGUAGAGGUCUCGACGGUUCCUGAUAGGAGAGAUGAAGGUGCAUCCUCAAGGAAGUUCACUAGAACUGCUAGCCAACAAAGGAGUGUGAUAAUAGAGGACCUGCCACCCUCCCCUGACACCAAUGGGGAAAAGGACAAAGAAGCUGAAGUUGCAGAGAAAAGGUGGAAAAUUCUUGUGUGGAAGACUGCUGUUUAUCUUAUAACUCUCGGUAUGCUCAUUGCACUUCUAAUGGGGCUUAACAUGUCCUGGACUGCAAUUACUGCAGCUCUUGUUCUUCUGGCACUUGAUUUUACAGAUGCACAGGCUUGCCUUGAGAAGGUAUGUUCCUCAAAUUUUGAUCAAUGCUUAGAGAGUUGAUACUUUUCUUAGCAUGAAUGAUGAUCAUCUUCUUGACUUGCAGGUGUCAUACUCAUUGCUGAUCUUUUUCUGCGGGAUGUUUAUCACGGUUGAUGGUUUCAACAAAACUGGCAUCCCGAACACAUUAUGGGAGUUAGUGGAACCAUAUUCACGAAUUGAUAGUGCCAAAGGUGUUGCACUUCUUGCGGUGGUGAUUCUUAUCCUUUCAAAUGUGGCCUCAAAUGUUCCCACAGGUACUUUUUCUCAAAUUGAUUUCUUUUGGGCACUAUUGGAAAUUUUAUGAACACGGCCAUCUGUAAUCAUUUAAUACUUUAUAACAUAUAUGCUAUUUUGUUUAAGAAAUCUGUUAUAUUGGUAUUUUAGAGGCUGUGUGCUCAUAUGGCCUUCUGGUCUCUCUGUUCUUUUCUGGUGCCUAGCAUGAUUAAAGGAACUGGAAUAUUACUCUAGCAUUUGGUGCGCAAAACUGAAAUUUGUACAUCAUUUGCAAAAUUUGUACAGAAUUAAACUGAAUUGCCACAACAAUUCAUGAUCCACAAAGAGGAACACUGACUUUAGUAAGACUUAAAAUAUUUGUAGUGCUUUAUCAGAGUACUUUCUGUGCUGUAAAACAUUCAACCCUGAGCCUAUAUUUGUGGAAAGUAAUCAUGGAAGUUAUAUUGUUCUCACAGAAAUAGGUUUGAAGGCAUUUAAUUUAUCCAAACCAGAGAUCUAUAUAUUAUACUGAACUGAGCAACUUAUGGUCUUUUAGUCUGUACUGUACUUCAGAACUCAGAAGUUUGCGAGAGUAAUUAGAUCCAGCAUGUUCAUCCUAUAUCGGAACUUUUCUUUUCUUUUUUCAGUAUUGUUGCUCGGUACAAGAGUGGCUGCAUCAGCUGCCGCAAUUUCUCAUGGUUCAGAGAGGAAGGCCUGGCUCAUUCUUGCAUGGGUCAGCACCGUGGCUGGGAACCUCACCCUCUUGGGUUCCGCCGCGAAUCUGAUCGUGUGCGAGCAGGCCAGGCGAGCCCAGUUCUUCGGCUACAAUCUCACCUUCUGGAGCCACCUCCGAUUCGGGGUGCCAUCGACCAUCAUAGUCACGGCGAUCGGGCUGCUCAUCGUCAUCAGUUACUGAAGUCAGCUGAAGGCAGGCGAUAGUGUACGAGAAGCAGAACGGAUAAAUCCAUCCAAUAAGAAAUCACAUGUAAAAUAGGCUUGUAACUCUCGUGUGUGUGUCAGUAUGUGUAUGCCUCCGUCUGUGUUCUUGCUCAUUUGGCGCUGCUAGCAGACUGCAGAUAGCUGACCGUGUAGCCUGCAUUUUCAUUCCUGAACGGAUGUUGCAAAUAGGGUUAAUGAAGAACGGUAUGAUAAUCUGAUUGCUGAUUUUGUGUUCUAGAUGCUUAACCGUGAGUUUCUCCAAGCUUGUGUUUCGAUUUCUGGAGCAAAGCGUUUAAAUAGUUCGUUUCCGAAGCUGAAACUCUGUUAACUUCUGCUUUCAAAUAAAAAAUCCGAAAGUGAAGUUUGGGCAAAAAUUGGAAGCAGCCCAUCACCUCAUUGGGCUUAUUGUGCCCAACAGCUAUAACUUUCGCCCACCCACCACUAAGCCUAGGCCCAGCGGAGAGAUCCUUUGCAGUUCGCCCAUUCCCGCCGCCGCCGCCGCCAUCGUCAACGCCGACAGGUCCACGAGCGCGGCGCCCGCGGCGAGAGGAUCAUCCUUCUCCGCCGCGAUAGAAGUGGACGCGGAGAGGCCUCAGUUCGAGCCUUCUUCGAGGCGCUGAUGCCAAGCGAGAUGAACGGCGGGAGGCCCCAAUCCCGGAAGUAGCCAGUGCCGAUCCACCGGUUCGCGCCGCUGUAGAGGUGUCGGAUGGAGAAUUGGAGAUAUACACUCCCGUCAACGGGUACAUGAAAAUCGACAUCCGCAUGAACCUUAAGGUGCGUGGCGUGACCUUGUGAUUUGCGCUUGUGCUUUUUUAUUUGAGCGUGAAAAGCGUCUGGAGUUGUGGUUAUCCUUGCAUCAUGGAUUAUAUGAGUCUGCAAAUCCUUAAUAGUCCAUUAGACAACUGUUCGUGUAAUUUUGUAGGAUGAUAUCCCAACGUAGAAGGUGUAUAUUUGACGAAUGCUCAUAUAAGCUGAAGUAUAGAACCAACAGUGUAGAUGAUGGUGUGCUGUUGUUAUUAUGAGGAUGGAAUUUGUGGACGGGCUGAUAAAUUCGAUCAGUGUUGGAGUAUCUGUGCUGAAGGGAUAAAAUUCAGUAGUAUAAUGGAUCCAGCUUUGCUGCGAAUCCGAAACAAGUAGUGCAAAAAAUAAUUCUAAUUGUGGAUCCCUUCAAUCACUUCUGCCUGUCAUGAACAUAGUUAUUCAGUAAGGGGUUCCAACUUCAUUUUUAAAAUGAGCAAGCACAAUUAUUCGAAAGGAUAGCUCAGUACUUGUUCACAAAUACCAUCAAUCAUUAUUUUGAUCUUCAUAGAUAUGCAUGACAACAGAACCUUAUAUUUUGAAUAAUGAAAAUACUUUCUUUGUUGAAUUGUUGUGAGCUGUCAUGACGCUUUGGCUCAAUGGAUUCCUGUAUUAUCCCCUUGUUUUUUUUUGUUUAAGUGACGAUAUCACCAAUGCUUGCAAGCCUAGACCUCCUGACUACUGUUUCCUGAACGAAUUGUCAUUAUUUUAUUUCGUAUUCCUUAACCGCUCUGCUGUAUGGUUAGGCCAUUUCCUACGAAGCAAACCCAUUAAAACAAUAACUAUUUCGUCUACCUCAGGCAGGAAGGGCAGAGCUGAAAACAAGCAAGGCACACCUGACGUGAGCAACCUGCAGAAAUGCUUGGACUUCUUCGUGCAUGCAUUCAUGCUUGGAUUCGGCAUUCGGAUGCCAUCGCCUUACGACCUUUACGUGGAUUCAUUCGAGGUAAAAGGACGUGAAGAGGCUCCGAGGGGAAGGUAGGCAAGACCAAGUAUAUGCCGUCGAGGACUCGACCAGGCCAGGACGCGGACUGUUAUCACGGACACGGAGAUCCAUAUCCUUGGGUCCUUUCAACAUUGUGAUCGAUGCCGUCCAACCGUUGCUAGCCGCGCCGCCCAAGUCCCUCGCCGGGAGGCCGCAUCCCCUGGGAUUCUACGGCCCGGCCGGAAUUGGGCGCGGGGCUUGUCAUGUGCGUGAACAAAAACAGCACCUAUGUUUCAAACUUACAAAUCACAAAACGUCCAAUGAUUUAACAACAAAGUACUUGCAGCAGCAAACUUAUUAGAAUACCAAUUCUCAUCAUCUCAUCUCAACGUAUCAAAGAACACACAUAUGCCUCUCAUGCCAACUCAUCGGCACAAUCAACCACUUCACAUAUGGAUCAAUAGCAAGUAAGAUGGUGACUUAAUCAACACAUAUGGCAAGAAAAAUACCAAAUCAAUAGUAGACACCAAGAUUCAUGUGGAAACCCCUUGCGGGAAAAAACCACGAGCGGCGGCAAGCAAUCCACUAUAUGAAGAAGCAAUAUAAGAGGUGGGAACCAAUAAGGAUGGGAAGCUCCAAAUCCCCUACGGAUUUCACUUUCUAUUGGAUGGAUUUGGUGGAUCUAAACCUCUCCUCUCCUUAACCCUAACUCUCGUCCAAGGUGGAAGAACAUAAUAGAAUACUCUGUUCCUAUUCGAGUUGGGCUGCCCUUAAAAUAGCAAACUUGUAAAGAGGUUCCAAAGUUGCAGAUUGUCACAAACAGCCCCAAUUUCAAUAUACAACAUGUAUAGGCAAGGUUUGCCAUAACAAAUGAGCUAAUGGGCUUCCAAAUUGAUGAAAUUAGGAGCUGGACAUCAGGCACAGGGUUGGCAAAGCUUCGCGCGCGUGCACGCACGCCCAUUGGAUGGAAUUGGCACUUGGCAGAUCAGUGAACGUCCUGUUCGCUGCCGUACGUAGCUAGCUGUGUGACCGCGUCUGUGUGCACGGCGUGCAUGCAUGUGCAUGGCACGCAUCGGUUCAAUUAUUUGCACCGUCAAGUACUUGCAUUGGUUCUUUCUGCAUGCAGUAAAUCACUCAACGCCCAAGGCGAAAAAUGGCCCCUCGGCCGAGUUGGUCGUGUCAUUUUCUUUUCUUUAGCACCAAGGGGACAGGGUGACGUGUUGCCUGAUCAUCAUCGACCCGGCGGUCGUUGCAACAUCGAUCAAAGCCUACGAAAAGGGUCCACUUUGCAUGCUACAAACGUUGACUGGGGGGCAAGGAGAGAAGAGGCAGGAAAGUACACAGCUCAGAGCUUGACGCAUCUGAUUUAUUUUCAGUCGGUUGCGUAGCUUAUAUGUUCAUCGUAUAGAUUUCUGAAACACAACAAGUAAUUUUCCAGAUAAGAAAUAAACCAGAACAGAUAAAUGCAUGAUAGAAUAUAUCUAUGGGACCAAGUAUUUUCUUAAGUGUUUGAAAACAAGAUAGAUUUCACCGUCAAUCUAUGUGAUAGUAGCGCGCGGAACAAUCACGACACGGGUGGAGUACGUAUACACUGGAAGGAUAGCCACAAGAUAUGGCAUGACAUACGCCAGGAGUAAUAGCAGGGAAAAUAAUCGUAAUAAGCAAAUCACCGUCUAAUACUAGUUUGUUUCUCUAGAUCAACAGCAACCACCAUAAUACGUAAGUAGCUGGUUGUUGAUCUUGAUCCAAGAUCCUAAUACGGCGAUCGAGCAAAUAAAUUGUUUUCAAGCACUUGAAAAAUAGCAAAAAUCAGAGGCCUACUACCAAUAUUGGUUGUGAACAAAACAAUCAGCGGAAACAAUACAUAGGAUGAUGGAUGCCGAGAUACACGGAGGCAAUCAUCAACAUCUUUGCACACAGCUUAAUAUCUCAACUUCAUAUUAUUGAUGACAGUAGUCAACGCAUUGAGGAAACCGGGUAACAAAGGAGUAGCGCGCUACAACACCAAUUAACUAAUUAUUAGCGGUACAAAAGAAGAACACCAAGGCUUAUACCACAUAUCACACCACUUCGAUCAUAAACCCCUGGAUAUUGGUACAGAUACCCAAGAACACAAGGUUCAUCCCCCUAUCUUCAUCCACGUACCCGUCAUCAAGAUACACUACCACCCCCAGAUCAGACCAGAACAAUUGCCAAAGGAUACAAGUUGCCCUACCUUAGUAGAGAGGUAAAAACACGCCGCCGUCGACGACGCCGAGGCCACGGCCGCGGCCGUCACUCCUCAACGAGGGGAGUAGCCGCCGUCAUCUCCAUGGCCACGAGCCCACGCCCCCACCCUAUAGGCGUCGUCCGAAGCGCAGCCACCCGUUGCCGAGACACACGCACGCUCCAGAAUAAGAACACGGCCACGCACCAUGACAUAAGCCUGUAGAUCUUUGCGUGUGCUGCUUGGAUAAUGUGUGGAGCUCGCGUUCCCCCCUGCCGCCGCCCUGGGCGUACGUGGGCUUAAGAGGGGGAGGAGAGGGAGCUCCCAUUGGGCGCUUUUAUUUGGACGCUUCGCUGCCUCUUUGAGGAUCCGAGGGGGCUUUCUGCAGAAACGUUUUUUCUAAUGCCAAAAAGCUCCUCGCCUACGCCUAUGCUACCUAAAUCCUCGCGGUUUUGCGCCGAACAACAACAAUUUCUCACGAACCACGAUCUGGUCCAGAUUCCGGAGCAAGCAACAGCUCCAGCUUUGCCUACCUGUUAAAGCAAAGCGAGGAGCACCAGCGUAAAGUGAUGACCACACGGGAGUGUGCACAUGACCUGAAGAAGCGUUGCCGGUGGCUUGCAUGCAAUUGUUGAGGAGGAGAGGGUGCGGACGCGCAAUCUGCCCGGGGGCGGGGCUGCGUGCCUUCCGUCCCGUGCCUGUGCAGCGGCGGGGUAUCUUCCGGCGGAUAUGCGGCGAGCAU